rnacentral:lncRNA from 1 species
UCUGUCAGCUUGAGUGAAUCUUUUCGAUCCUCCCCUGGACCCAGUCCAUCUGGGAUCGAGGCUAGCCCUAUCCGACUCCGAGCCUCAUCCUCAUCUGGCAGUGCAGCCACCAGUUUUUCAUGUAUGAAGUCUGAGUUAACAAAGGUGACCUUGAUCCCGUGAUCAGAAAUCUGGUACGCAAACUUCAUAAAGGGAGUAACAUGUCCUUGUGCUGGGAAUGGAAUAAUCAGCACAUGAGGUCGGCCCAUGGUUGCUGCCAGCACUUCUGCUUCCUCUGAUCCCAAGUUUCAGGAUUAAUACUGCUUCUCUUUAUUAGCCUGAGCCCUCUAUUGUGUGAAUCGUAUACCUAUUUGCUAAAAUUUUAGCUGCAGCCCAUCUCCUAUUUAUGAGUUCCAUACGUCAUCUGAAAGAUAUGGUGUUGUGGCUCAAGUUCUUUGUCACUUUGGUUUUAUCUUCUAUCUAUUUUGUCUUGAUGAAGCAUCUUGUGUGGCUCUCCCGUCACUUUGGUGUAGCUUUGAACCUAUAUUGCACUGAUAAACUUUUGGUUUCUGCAUUACAAACUCCAUAUAUGCAAUAAACUUUUUGUUGGUGCAGUCAUUGGAUUGUAGCCAUUUUUCCUACUUGGUUUUUCCACCAAGUUGCUGAUACCCUAUGGAUUUAUUCUCAAGAGCUGCAAGGUAUAUUACGAGGAAGUUAUCAUCGGUUGUUUACUUUGUCUUUAACCUACAACCUCUUAUGUAUCUAGCCUCAUUUUGUUGUUGCAUGAAUGGUUUGAGCUCUUUGUUCAUAUCCCAUGCAUGUAUUUGUUAAACAAGCUUGUAUUGAUGUUGAGCCUGAUUGAUGCUAGAUUUGGACAAUGAAGGGAAAUGAAAAUUUGGACAUGCAAUGGCUAGAUUUCACCUUAAUAGUAUUCAAUUAAUGCUUCUAUAUAAACAGUACUCCAAAUGCUUUAGCAUAUAUUCUUGGGAAGUCAUCUCUAGUUUACUUUGUUCUUUAUGUAGGGCCUUAUGCAGCUAGUCUCUUUUUCUAGUUGCAUAUAUGGUUUUGAGCUCUUGGUUCCUUUCCCUUGUAUUGAUUUUUUUUUCUCUAUCUUAUACCUUCGAAUGAUCCCGUUUUCCUCUUAGUUCAGCCCUGCAUGCACCCACCUUUGUAAAUCACAGAUAUGGAAGUGGUCGCCAAAGUAAGGACAGACCUUCAUCAUUGAGUUUCCAAGCAGAGUGGAUUAAGAAACCAGCAAGGACAAACCCUUGGCAUUGAUUCACUCAGCCGGUGGCAGAGACAAGAAUUUUUCUAACUAGAACAGAAGCAUUACAAUAACCCUGGAUGAAUUUUAGAAAUUGGUGAAAACGAGUAAUUUUAGACUUUAGUUAUCAAUAAAUAUAAUAUAUCAAAUUAAAAAUUGAUUUUAGGAUCUUACCAAUUAAAAAUUGAAACUAAAAAGGAAAUUUUUCAAAAAAGUUAAAAAAUGGUAAUAAGAUACAAAAUGUUAUUAUUUUUUUUUCUCAAUAAUUUAAUAAUCUCUUUUAAGAAAAUUAUUUUUUACCCCAAAUGACUACAUAUAAAUGAGUUGGAAGUAAUGAGAUAUUUUAUUAAUAAUUUCUUAUGAUAUAGUAACUAUCAUUAAAAUUUCAAGUAAAAUAUAAAUAGCUAGUUAGAGUUUGAUUGUUAUUAUCUAUUAAGGUACCCUAUUCUAGCAAAAUUCUCUAGCACCGAAGAGGUAUUGUUUAGAAGAUUUACUAGUAAUCAUUGGAUUUGUGAAUUCAAAAUCUAUCAAGCAAUAGGAAGACACAGAACUAACUAAAAGAACUUGACUACAAAGUUGUAGUUGACAAUUAUUUUUUCCCCAAAUAUUAUGAGAUCUCUAAGUAUUUUUUUGAGAUUUACAUUGGCCUUUGAAAAAAUGAAAUUAUCAUGAAAUCAUAUUUAAGACCAUUCAAGUAAGUAUGAUUGAGCUUGUUGGGGUGAAUAAUAAUAUUAAAUGAUGUACUUUGAGUUUAUUGUAUGAUGAAACUCUUUUGAGCGGAAGAAACCAAUUUUGCACAAGUGUUUGAAAUUAUUUUUUAUUUUUAUUUUUGUCAUUUUUCAUUUGUGUGUUAUUGGUUGAGCUUGCUAGGGUUUUCUAAGUAUAAAUAUACCUUAUUUUGUCAAAUGUUUUAAAUACAUAUUAGAACAAUCAUUAUUUCCUAUGCAUUUCCAUUUUUUUUUUGAUAAGUAAAAGAAGUAUAUUAAACGAAAAGAGGAAACACAAAAAAUCGGUGCCCUCUAAGUAUACAGGGAGUAUACACACCACCUUUCCUAACUAGGAGCCUAUCCAGUCUAUAAAACUUACAAGAGAAGAAUGACUCUCUGCUAGGGAACCCCUGACCCAAUACCAAAGAUUACAUACAAAAGAAUAUUUCAACCUCUGAAGCGAAAGGUCCUCAUCCCCAAACGCUAACCUAUUUCUCUCCUUCCAAACUGUCCAAAAAAUACAUAACGGCGCCAUUUGCCAAGCCUUCUUGCGUCUUUUUCCCACAAACCCUCCAUUCCACUCAAGAAGGGUUGCCUUCACUGAACACGAGAGAGUCCAAGAUAUACCAAAAAGAGAGAAAAGAAGGUUCCAUAGGACCCGUGUCUUGAUACAAUGCAGUAGGAGGUGAUCCACUGUUUCUUCUUCAGAUAAACAGAGGAAGCACCUAUUUGCCAAAGAGAACCCCCUCCUUUGAAGUUGCUCCUGAGUUAAAACUUUGCCCCAAGAAGCCUCCCAAGCAAAGAAAGCUACCUUGGGAGGCACUCUUGCCCUCCAAAUUCUAUCACUAGGAAACAAAGAAAGACCCCCCGGUUCCAUCAUAGAAUAAAGGGAUCUAACUGAGAAGACCCCAUCCUUUGAAGCUGUCCAUAUCACUCUAUCUUCCUCCUCCCUUUGAACCCUGAAAGCUUGGAUCUUCUGCAACAACCGUUCCAACAAAAUAAUCUCCCAAUCGUUAAACGCCCUUGCAAAGAGAGGAGUCCAGCCAAUCCCAUCACCAACCGGAUUCCACACAUCCGAAACCCAAGCAUUCUUUGACAUGGAUAUGGAAAAAAGAGAAGGGAAAGACUCACAAAGAGGCCCAUCUCCACACCACUUGUCUUUCCAAAAUUUCACUCUUUGCCCAUUACCCAAAUGAAAGGCUACCCUGCCGUCAAAAAGCCCCCACUUCUUCCUAAUUGCUUUCCAAAGCCCAACUCCAUUUCUUCCCAACACAUCCCGAGUACUCCACCCCCUUCCUCUACGCCAUACUUUAGACUAAUUACACUCCUCCACAAUGCAUCUCUCUCAUUAGCAAACCUGCAAUUCCACUUACACAAUAGGGCGUUAUUCAUCAAAGAUAAAUUUCUCACCCCUAGACCACCUUUUCUUUUCUCCAAACAUAUCAAGUUCCAUCUUACAAGGUGAGGUUUAUAGGCUAAAGUUCCCCCACCCCACAGAAAAUCCCUCUAAAUUUUCUCCAGUCUCAUCCUUACUUUUCUAGGCAAGUGAAAUAGAGACAUCAAAUAAAUAGGCAUGCUGGACAUAGUGCUUCUGAUUAGGGUGAGUCUACCCCCUUUAGAUAUGUACUGCUCUUCCACAUAGCAAGCCUUCUACGAAAACGCUCUUCAACCCCAUUCCACACCGCCAAAGAAUUGAAAGCUGCCCCAAGGGGCAUUCCCAAAUAACUAGAGGGAAAACCUCCCACUUUACACCCCAACUCCAAAGCCAAACCCUCUAUAUUCAGCACCCUUCCAACCGGGAUUAUCUCACUCUUCUCUAAAUUAAUCCUCAACCCCGAACAGGCCUCAAACCACAUGAGGAGCCAACUUAGAUAUGUCAUCUCGUCUGGAGAGUCCUCACAAAAGACUAACGUAUCAUCCGCAAACAACAAAUGCGAUAUAUGCAUCCCCUCACCCCUCCCACCACUCACUUUCCACCCAGCUAAGUAACCCCCACUAAUCGCCCUUCUCAUCAUACUACUAAAAACCUCCAUGGCAAUCACAAACAAAUAAGGGGAAAGGGGAUCUCCUUGUCUUAGCCCCCUCGUGCUUUGGAAAAAACCGGAUGGAGACCCAUUGACUAACAAGGAAAAUUUCACUGUGGAAAUGCACCAAUCAAUCCACUUUAUCCAUCUCUCUCCAAACCCCAUCUCUUUAAGAACGGCCAACAAAAAACUCCAGCUAACAUGGUCAUAAGCCUUCUCUAUAUCCAACUUGCAUAACACCCCUCCCACAUUGUCUUUCAACCUUGAGUCCACAGCCUCGUUUGCAAUCAGCACUGCAUCCAAAAUCUGUCUACCCUCCACAAAGGCAUUUUGAGACUCUGAAAUCACUUUCCCCAUAACCUUUUUAAUUCUGUUGGCCAACACCUUGGCCAGCAACUUGUAGAGGCUACCUACAAGGUUGAUGGGCCUGAAGUCUUUCAAGUCUUCAGCUCCUCCCCUCUUUGGGACUAGUACAAGGAAAGUUGCAUUAAGAGAUUUUACAAAUCUACCCCUCUCAUGAAAUUCCUUGAAGAAUCCCAUUAUUUCAGCCUUUACUAAAUCCCAACUGAACGACCAGAAGGCCAUGGUGAAGCCAUCCGGGCCGGGGGCCUUAUCCUUGCCUAGAUCUGAAAGUGCCACGAACACCUCCCCUUCCGAAAAGGGAAUUUCCAGCCCCUCAGCCUCACAGUUGUUUAAUCUCAAGAAGGGCAACCCCUCAAUACCAGGACGCCAUCCUCCUUCUUCAGAGUACAGAUUAUUAAAAGCACCCACCACACUAUUUUUUAAUUCUAACUCCUCCGUAUGCCAACAAUCAUCCACUUUCAGCCUUGACAACCAGUUUCUUCUACUAUGCGCGUUCGCCAUCCUAUGAAAAAAUUUGGUAUUAUUGUCCCCCUCCUUCAACCACAAUUCCCUUGAUCUCUGUCUCCAAGAAAUUUCUUCCCUCAGCACCCAUGUCUUAUAAGCCUCCUGAGCCUCCUUCCUUGCUUCACAAUCCUCCAGACUCAGAGUUGAAUGAUUCUCCACUGUAUCCCAGUACACCACCUGGCUGAGAGCUUCUCUCUUCUUAGUCUCAAUUACCCCAAAAACUUCUUUGUUCCAAGUCUUUAAUAGCCCUUUUAAGGCUUUUAAUUUUGCAUCCAGGACAAAACUAAGAGACCCAGUAAAAGAUAAACUGCCCCACCAGCUCUUCAACUGAUCCAUGAAUCCCCUUUCCUCCAACCACAUAUUCUCAAAUCUGAAUGGUGACGGGCCCCUCUUCAAACCUCCAUCCUCAAGAAGAAUAGGAGAAUGAUCAGAGACUGGUCUAGCAAGAAUCCCCUGCAUGGCUCCAUUGAACAUUCUGUCCCACUCAUCCGUAACCAAGAACCUGUCAAGCCUAGAUUGAGACUGGUUGUUUAACCCCCCUCGCCAAGUAAAGAGACCCCCCUGUAAGGGGUAGUCCCUUAGCUCCAAAUCCUCUACCACUUCAGUAAAUCUUUUCAUUGAAGCAGAUAACUCACCUCCCCUGCUACGCUCUUCCGGGUAUCUAAUCAUAUUAAAGUCUCCCCCCACACACCAAGGGUCUCUCCAUAACCCUUUUAUUGAUCCAAGCUCCUCCCAAAAAACCUCUCUAUCCCUUCUACACACCGGCCCAUAAACACCAGUGAAGACCCACCUCAUCCCAUCCAUACAAUUCUUGAACAGACAUGACACUGAAAAAAUCCCUUCUUCCACCUCCAACAAAUCAACCACUCUGUUGUCCCAAAACACCAGAACACCUCCAGCUGCCCCCUUAGAGUUAAUUGCUCUCCAGUCAAUAUGUCUUCCCACCCCAAGGCUACGAACAAUCCCCGUACUCAUGUCCUUGAUUUUUGUCUCCUGCAAACACACCACGUCCACCUUGUUGGAUUUUAUUACAGACUUAAUGAUUUUCCUCUUCUCAUUAUCAUUUGCCCCUCUAACAUUCCAAGAUAAGAUCUUUAUCUUCAUUUAAUCCCUGAUCCUGAAUCCCCUCCAAAUUUGCCUUCAUUGGAAGCCAGCUUGGCUCUUUUAUAGCUUACUGUCCAUUCCAGCUUCUUUAAUUCCCUAAUGGAUUUUGUGACAGAAGACUUUGUCUUUUUAUUCUCCCUACCCUGAUUUUUCUUUUCAAUUCUCCCCUUCAUUCUUCUCAACAGGUAUAGAAUCUCCUCCUCAAACCCAACUGUCGGCAUGCCCAAGCAGUGACUGAAUUUCGCAAGGCAGCUGGAGCUCCAUACUUCCUCUUCGUCCCCCACUUCCACCUGAAGGGCCAUCGUCUCCACUAAUGGGCUUUCUAAAACCCCUCCAAAAGGAACAAUGGCUAAAUCAGUCCCAUUUGCCUCAUCACCCGACGCUCGCGGAGACAUGUUUCCAUCUUCGUGAACCGAGAGGUCCCUGUUCCUUUCUUCUUCCACGGCCCCAAACAAACCACUGAUCACUCCCACUUUCCCCACCGCAGCGCCAUCCGACCCUAAGAAAGGAGAAGAAGGAGAAAAAGCCCCACACCCCAAAGAGAAAUUAGGGGAUUUUAGUUUACGGGGGUACCUGGAAGCCUCGUUCAACAGCGCGUCGUCAGCGGGCUUCCGAUGGCCGAGGGAAGGCUCCAUGCCGCCGACGCAACUCGCGACCAACAUCUCCUGCUCCAGCUCCGUAAGGAUCCCGACAGACUCGGGGUGAGCCCUAUAAGGGACGGGCUCCCUUAAAAGGUCCAAAUGGGCCUCAGGAUUAAAAAGCCCAGAAAGCUCCUCAAUCCCCUUAGUCCAACCCGUCAAUUUGGGGCAGAGAGGGGGCGGGCCUUCGGCCCAACCCAUACCUUCCUUAGAAAACAGCCCUCCAUCCCCUUUUAAAAAAGCCCCACUGCCAGUCUUGGGCCCAGGCCCACUCCCUGAGCAGCCCACUGCAGAGUCAACAAACUCCCUGCCCCAUUCUUUGCCAUCCAUCCUGCUUGUUCUGCCACACGCCACCUUCACUUCAGUCUCCCUUUUUUGAAAAUCUGCUUUGGGCUCCCGUACUCUAGAUUCAGCGCGUGAGGCUCCCCCACCUUCAUCCCUAACCUCCCACUCACUUCUUCUCUGCAUCCGCAAGCAUGACCCAUCCUGCAACACCCUCGGAAUGGCUUCCCACCACAAGCAAAGUUCCCACCUAGUGUUACCAGCCUCCACCUCCAUUGUUCCAGGCCUUUUCAUUCCCGAAUUUUUAACCAAAAUCCGAGCCCACUGCAGCUAAGAGAAGAGGGUCGUGUCCUCAUCCACAGCUACAAACCCUCCACAGCAGUCUCCAAUGCUCUUGAAGACCUCCCUACUCCACAGAUGAAGAGGAAGGCCUACAACUCUUACCCACACUUCCUGGCUCUCUUUCCAAGUGCACCCCACUACCGGUCCCCACCUUUGCAAUAGAAACUCUCUGUCCUUAAUACGUCUGCUCCCUCUAAGAAGCACCAUAUCAGCUUCCCAUUUGUUUUGAAACACAAACAACACCAGGGCCCCACCCAACCUGAAUAUUCUUAUCUCCCCUUUCAGUAACCAAACCUCAUACGCCCAUCUCUUCAAAGAAGGCAAUGACGGGAUAGACUCAGAACUACCACCGAAACAACCCACCAGGCAAUGCCCAAGCUGUUCCUCCCUAUACAUUAUUGCCUUUUCCCCUAGGUUCACCCUCAUAGACUCCACUGGCAUACCUUUCUUCCCUUUAACUACUUCUGCAUACGAACCUGACCCUUUCUCUGAGGUAUUGGCAUUGCUCUCCUCCUUACCCAUGGACGGCACACUCUGGAAGCUAAUCCUCCCUUCUGUGGAAGAGACCCCAAGAGCCCUCAAAUUCUUAGCCAGCAAGAACCAUCCCCCUACUAAGCCACUUCCCUCAGGAAAAACUAGACAGAACUUUUUCCUUUUCGCAUCUCUGACCGAGCAGAGCAAAAAUCUCCCAGCCGCAUUAGAACGACAUUCUAGACUGAAUUUUCUUGCUCCUUCAUCCCAAACUUUUAAAAGCUUCGAGGUAGACUCUCCUCUGCACCAAGCUUCCACACCUUCCAACAGAAGGCUUAAGCCUUUUUCUCCAAAUCUUAUCCAGGAGGAGAGACCUUUGCUCCUUUCCCAGAUGGUUCCUCUUAGCCUUCCUCUGAUCUCUUCAAUGGAUAUUUUGAAAGACUUGGAUUCAACGGCAAACCAACUCUUACCUCCCUUCGGAAACCCAUGGGAGUCCCUCACUCCCAUGCUGAUGAAUUUUCUCUCACACUCAUAAAGAAAAGGGCAAAACACAACAAGACGAAAAACCCUAGGCUUCUUCCAUCACUCUCAAGAACCUCAUUGUUGACAUAAAUUUGUUUAUGGUGGUUAAUUACAUCCCAUCAAGGUAUUGAGAAGUUUACGAAGGAGUGUAAUGUGUUGUGCAUGGAUGUGAAGACAUGUGAAAGUGUCAACUGUGUCAGACACAGACCUAGGAAAACAGAACUUCUGUUUCAUGUAAACUUAUGGUUUUAUAUUUGUAGAGUUUUUAGUAGAAUUUAUGGGUGAUAUAUUUGUAGAGCUUUUGGUAAACUCUGUCGGUGAUUUUCUAUGUCUAAUACAUGUCUUUUGUGUGGUUAGAAUUCAUGUUAAUAUCUAAAUAUUUCAUAUUAAUCGAAGAAAAUAUUAUUUGUGAAAAAUUGAACUUUAAGACGUAAAAUAAUUAUUACCUUUUCACCCUUCAUAAAUUUCAGGAAUCAAGAUUCAUACUUUCAAUUGGUAUCAAAGCAUAUUGAAUCUAAAAAAUUAAAAUCUUUAAUCCCUACAUAACAUAGAUUCAUGGAACCACAAUGAGCAGAUCAUCUAUGAAAUUUUUAUCAUAGCUGUUGAAGGCUGCGUUACCAAGACCACUUCAAUUUCCUGAUGUACUCGCCUCUUCAACUGAAGAUGAUGCUUCCUUCUUUUGACCUACAAAAGAUGUUCGGACAGGAGGUCCGGACACACCCUCCGAUACUUUUAUUAGUUUUGCUCUCUAGCAUAUUGAUAUUUUUUAUGGGGCCCUUCUCCUUAGGAAUCCCUUCCCUUCUUUGACUGUGUGGGGGCCUUUUAUAGUGCUAGGAGUUUUGUCUCUUUAAAUGGUGGGAAGACUUUUUGGCUGUCAUGAUGGUGCUUAGAGGGUGACAGAGCCAUCAUUAUCCUGCAGGCGGCUGUCAGAGAUUGCUGGAUGGAUGAGUUGCCGUCAUCCUUGUCUUUUCACUCUGUAGGCGGCGCAGGGUAGGUCGUGGCAGGUCGCCUGAAGUGACCCAGGAAGGUCAUGUUGAGCAUGCUUUUGGUAAAAUGAGUAAUGAUUGCCCGCAAGACACAGUCAAGAAUCUUGUUUGAGACGUUAGCCACUGGGUUCGGAUUGGACAUCCGGACAGGGGGGUAUGCAUCGCAUGUCAGUCCACGUGAUAGUCCGGACAGAGGGUUGGAUGUGCCAUGUGUCAGUCCAUGUGAACAUCUGGACAGGGGGUUGGAGUGCCACGUGUCCAAUGGAGGAGUGCCUUGUGAGGCCACCACGUGUACGCUUAGGGGUGGUCCCUACAAUAGCUUGUCUCAAUAAUCUCAACACCUAAUUUUCAUGUUUCUUUAAUGAAGUCUAGAAUAUAAUUUCUGUCAGUAGGAAUACAGUUUGAGUAGGUUGGGUCGGGUUGAUGGCGAUUUAACACAUUUGGAUAUAGUAGCAACGGGAAACAUCUUCAUUGUUUCAUUACUUCAACAAAGGUUUGGAAAUUCUUGUAAGAAGAUCCACCUUCACUCACACUCUUUCUAGUCAUUUCCUUCAACUUCUCUGCAUUUGCUUUUAUAACAUCAUCAGAAACCAACAUUUCGAUCUUCUUCUUAAUCUCAUGCCUUGAUAUGAAUCCAUUUUCAUCUGGGUUCAACCCCAAGCCCACCUUCCACUUGUCGCAUAUGUAACUCUGGUUAUGGAAUUGAUCUACAACGUAGGGCCAGCAUAGGAAGGGGACUCCCAUGCCUAUGCCGUCCAUGGUUGAGUUCCAUCCACAAUGGGAUAAGAAACAUGCAACAGAAGGGUGAGCUAAAACUUUUUCUUGGGGUGCCCAUGAAACAAUCUUUCCAUUCUCAGCAACUCUCUCUAUGAAACCAUCAGGGUAUUCAGCAUCUGAUCCAUUGGUGAAGUCUGAUCGGACAACCCAUAAAAAUGGCCGGCCUACAAGUUCAAUACCCAGUGCUAGUUCAUUGAAUUGGUGCUGGCUUAAGAUCGCUAGGCUUCCAAAGGCAACAUAAAUGACUGAGCCAGCAGGUUGUUUAUCGAGCCAGCUUAUGCAAGUUGAAUCCUCAGGCCAAAAGUUUCCAGGAUAAUGACCCAGAUGGUUAUUUGCAAUUAACGGGCCUAUUGGUAAUAUGUUGGGAAUCAAGUCACAAGCAGAUGAGUCAAGUUCGUAAACGGAGUUGCAAAUAAGCCAAUUGGAAAGAUUAAUAGCUGAGAUGUCUUUGAAAGCAAGUCGGAAAAUGACCUCUUGUAAGGUUGGAUCACUCGGGCAGCUCCACGGCAAUCUGUUGCUGCUAAAGGCUGGUAUAUCCUUUGCCAGGCAGAUCAACUCGUCGUUCAAAAGAGAUCCUGCAAAGAUAUUACAAUUAUUAAUUUCCAUCAAAACCAAGAAAAUACUUAGCUACUUCCCCCGAUUUUUAUUGAAUUUUCAGGGGCUAUUAGCUUUAGUCUCUUAACUUGUUUUCAAUUACUAGAAAUCUUCAUGUUUCAUCAAUUAGGUAUAAACAACAGAUUUAACUUUAGAAAUAUGAUAUGUGCAAGUUUAAGUGUUAAUACCAUCAGUACUAUUUAGAAGUCCGGCCUCAAUAAGCCUUGGAAUGUGAAAUGCCAAAGCCAAGCUUCCUGGUCCAAAGGGGCAAAACGCGACCCUCUUGAUCCCCAUCUUGUCGGCAACCUCUAGCGCCCACCCAAAUGCUGAAUCAGCAAUAACACAAGUGAUCUUCUCAUCAUCAUUCGAGUUGUUAACCUUCUCCAUAAACUCCUUCAAAUGACCCGGCAUGACUCUAAAAAUACUGUCUGUCAACUUGAGCGAAUCUUUUCGAUCCUCCCCCGGACCCAGUCCAUCUGGGAUCGAGGCUAGCCCUAUCCGACUCCGAGCCUCAUCCUCAUCUGGCAGUGCAGCCACCAGUUUUUCAUGUAUGAAGUCUGAGUUAACAAAGGUGACCUUGAUCCCAUGAUCAGAAAUCUGGUACGCAAACUUCAUAAGGGGAGCAACAUGUCCUUGUGCUGGGAAUGGAAUAAUCAGCACAUGAGGUCGCCUGCCCAUGGUUGCUGCCAACACUUCCACACACUUCUGCUUCCUCUGAUCCCAAGUUUCAGGAUUAACACUGCUUCUCUUUAUUAGCCUAAGCCCUCUAUUGUGUGAAUCGUAAACCUAUUUGCUAAAUUUUAGCUGCAGCCCAUCUCCUACACAUGAAUUUCAUAUAUUAUCUGAAAGAUACGGUGUUGUGGCUCAAGUUCUUUGGCACUUUAAUUGGUUUUGUCUAGAUCCUACCUAUUUUGUCUUUAUGAAGUGUCUUGUGUGGCUCUCGGUUACUUUGGUUUAAUUUUAAAACCUAAAUUGCACUGAUAAACUUUUGGUUUCUGCAUUACACACUCCAUAUAUACAAUAAACAUUUUGUUGGUGCAGUCAUUGGAUUGUAGCCAUUUUUUCUACUUGGUUUUUCCACCAAGUUGCUGAUACCUCGCUGUGUAUUUUAUUCUCAAGUGCUUCAAGGUAUAUUACGAGGAAGUUAUCAUUGGUUGUUUGCUUUGUCUUCACCUACAACCCCUUAUGUAGCUAGCCUCCUUUUGUUGUUGCAUGAAUGGUUUGAGCUCUUUAUUCUCAUCCCAGCAUGUAUUUAUUAAACAAGCUUGUAUUUUUGUUGAGCCUGAUUGAAGCUAGAUUUGGACAAUGAAGGGAAAUGAAAUUUUGGACAAUGGCUAGAUUUCACCUUAGUAGCAUCACUCUCAAUUAAUUCUUCGAUAUAAACAUUACUCCAGAUGCUUUAGCAUUUAUUCUUGGGAAGUCAUCUCUAGUUUAUAACUUUGUCCUUUAUGUAGGGCUUUAUGCGGUCUCUUUCUCUAUGGUUUUGAGCUCGUGGUUCUUGUCCCUUGUAUUGAUUCUUUUUCUCUAUCUUAUACCUUCAGAUGAUUCCAUUUUCCUCGAGUUCAGCAGACGCUUUAGAAUAUAUUUUUGGGUAGUCAUCUCUAGUUUACUUUGUCCUUUGUGUAGGCCUUUAUGCAGCUAGUCUCUUUCUCUAGUUGUAUAUAUGGUUUUGAGCUCUUGGUUCUUUCCCCUUGUAUUGAUUCUCUUUCUCUAUCUUAUACCUUCAGAUGGUCCCAUUUUCCUCUGAAUCAGCAGAUGCUUUAGCAUAUAUUCUUGGGUAGUCAUCUCUAGUUUACUUUGUCCUUUAUGUAGGGCUUUAUGCUUGUCUCUUUCUCUAUGGUUUUGAGCUCUUGGUUCUUUUCCCUUGUAUUGAUUUUUUUUUUCUCUAUCUUAUACCUUCAGAUGAUCCAAUUUUCCUCUGAGUUCAGCCCUACACCCACCUUUGUAAAUCACAGAUAUGGAAGUGGUCGCCAAAGUAAGGACAAACCUUCAUAAUUGAGUUCCAAGCAGAGUGGAUUAAGAAACCAGCAAGGGCAAACCCUUGGCAUAGAGAGCUAUGGUUUAUUAAGCUACAAAUAAUCCUGGAUGAAUUUUAGAAAUUGCUGAAAGCUACAAAUAAUUUUUGAAUUUCUUUUAAUUUUUUUUUAAAAUUUUUUUAUUAAGCAAAAAAUUUCAAAUCAAACUAUACUUGAUACAUAAAAUUUAUUAAUUUUUAAAAUAAUUUGAAACUAAAAAAACCAAUUUAAUUGUUAGUUCUAGAAAGUCAUGGAGCUUAAUAAUAUUAAAGAGUCAUUGAGUAAAAUUUAUUUUGAAUGAAUUGGCUAAUUUAUUUUAUUUUUGCAUAUAAUCAUACUUUAUAAAUUUUGUUCAUUAAACAAAUAUACUCUAAGAGGGUGUUUGUUUUUUUGGCUUUUUGCUUAAAGCAAUUUGUUUUGAGAAUUUAGGUUAUUUGGUUUUCUAUUUUUUCACGACUUAUUAUAAAUUUUUUGCUGAAUAAAAAAAAUCAAAAUAUUUAGUUUUUUCUAAAUAGAAAAUAUAACAUAUUAGUUUUUCUUUAUUUUUUAAUACUAAAUAGAAAUAAAAUACUACAAAAACAAAUAACUUAAUACUUAACACUAUUAAACAUUAAAGUUCUAUUUAGAAUUAAGUAAAAAAAAAACAUCACCUAAAUUAAGAAAUAUUUAAUGCAUUAGAAUCGUUACUAAGCAUAUAAAUUUUUUAAAAUAACUUGAAACUCAAAAAGUGAAUCAAUUAACAUGAAAAUUUUAUGAACAAAAGUUGGCCUAAAAUGACUAUUAUUGCUCUUCUAUGUAGAAUCAUAUUCUUCAAAUUUUUCAUUGAAAAAUAAACUUUAAAUUAAGCAAAUUAAAACUUGAUGUGUUAGAUUUAUUAAUGAGUGUAAUAAUUUAAGCAAAAAAUAAUUUGAAACUCAAUCAGUGACCAACUAAUACAAAAAAUUUAUAGACAAAAAUUGGUCCAUAAUGACUAUUAUUAUUAUUACUAUUAUUUUGACAUGUAAUGAUAUUUUUAUGAAUUUUAUUAUUAGAGAAAUGAACUUCAAAAUAAAACUACACUAUGUAUUGAAUUUAAUAAUUUGAAACUACUAAAAUAGAUCUAUCCACUACAAAAACUAAUAGGUCGAAACUAAUAGAUUAUAAGUUAUGACUUUACUUUUUAUCCUCUAAUAUUUUAUGAAUUUUCUCACUAGGUGAAUACAUUCUAAAUUUAGUGAGACAUAAUUAAUAAUUAAUUUAAAUUUUUUUUAUGAAUCUUUUAAUUUUUAAGAAUAAUUUUGAAUUCAAAAAAUAAAGCCAAUUAAUUACAAAUUAAAUCAAAAUAUUUAAAACUUUGUCCACAAUUAUAUACUACACAUGCACAUCUAACGAAAACUUUGCUCAUUUAUAUAUUAAAAAAUUAAAAAUUAUUUUUUAAAAUAAAAUAUUAUUAAUAAUUAUUAUUUUUAAAUUAUAAUUGUUCUUUUUUUCUUUUUUCUUUUUAAAUGAUUAUGCUUAAGAUGUUAAUCUUCACAUUUUUAUAACAUAUACUAAAAUAAUAUUUUUAUAAAAAAAUAUAAUUUGUGAUUUUAGUAUAAUAUUAUUAUUUAUAAUUUACUAAAACUAUUUAUUUUUUUAAUUUAUCUGUAUUUACAAAACUAUUUUUAAUUUUUAUAAAACUUCAAUUAAAUUUAAUUAAUAUAAUUAAUAUCAGUGUUUUAAAAACCGAACUUAAUCUGUGACCAUCAACCGAGGACCAAACCGGUUUGGUCUACCUAUUGAACCAUUUGACAAUUGAACCGUCCGCGAACCGGCGGAGCCACGAUUGAACCGGUGAACCAGGCGGUUUGCCAUAAACCGAACAGUUCUUUGGUUAAUAUUUUUUUCAUUUUUAAAUCCAAGACAGAUGCAUUUUGCACGGAAAUGAAAAGCCCUAACCCCUCUCCCCUUUGCCCCCAUGCCCAACCGUCCCUUGCCCUCUCCAGGAGCCUUCCUCAGCCCCCCACCUUCGGCACCUCUAGCCAGCAGGCUUGCGCCGACACCGACGCCAAUGGAAGACAGUGACGCCGAUGGACGAAUGCGACGUCGACGACUCCACUGACUGGAGUUGUAAAUGUUGUUUGGCUUCCUUGUUUACUAUUUAAAUAUUUAUCAUUUGAUUUAUCUAAUUAUUUUAUUUGAUAUUUGUAUUAUUUUUAAUUUCUAAUUUUUGGAAAUUCUGAUUUUUAAAUAUGUUAUUUUAUAUUUAUGAUUUUAAUUUUUAAAUUUAUGAAUUUAAAUUUCUUAAUUUCGAUUUAAAUCAUUUUAUUUAUUUGAAAAUAAAUUUUUGGUUUUAAAAUAAGUUUUUGGUUUAAAAAUAAAUUUAAAUUUUUUUAAUUUUAAAAUAAAUAUAUGAUUUUCAAAUAAAUUCUGAUUUUUUAAAUUUGUGAUUUUAUAUUUAUGAAUUUAAAUUUCUGAAUUUGAUUUGAAUCAUCUUAUUCAUUUAAGAAUAAAUUUUAUGAUCUUAAAAUAAAUAUCUAAUUUUCAAAUAUAUUUUCUAUUAUCAAACAUAUUUUUGACUUUUAAAUAAAUAUAUGAUUUUAUAAAAAAUUUAUGAUUUUUUAAAAUUCUAAUAUUUUGAAUUUAUGUUUUCAAUUAUCAAUUGAAUUUAUGAUAUUAUUAUUAUUUUUAAUAUUUUUUUAAUUUUAAUAAUAUAUAUACAUAAUAUAUAUUAUAUAUUUAUGAUGUCACCUAUUCAAUCGCGGUUCAACACCAAUCCAAUUCAUGAUUCAUGAACCGAUAACUUUUCUAAUUUAAUGACCAAUCCGAUUCUGAAAACAUUAAUUAAUAUUACAUAAAUUGAAUUUAUAAUAUUUUUAAAAAUAACUUGCCAAACACCCCUAUUUUUAUAAAAUACUAAAAAGUUAUUUUUUGCUCUUUUAACAACAGUUUUUAAAGAUAAACAUUACAAAACAUGGCUAAACGGCCCUUAGCUCCUGGGUUUCAGCAAAAGAUUCAAAACAGCGCCAUCUUGUGGCCUCCGUCAACAUGUUUUGUUGCCCAAUUUUUGUGUAAGCUCUAAAUAAUGCUGCUUUCGAUUUUCAAUUGCUCUGUUCGUGCACUUUUUUUAUAUGUUGCCAUGUAGACAACAGUAUAGUUCUUGAUCCCCCAAUCAUACAUAAUUCUUUGCUCCACUACUAAUGCAUUACAUCAAUAUCUGUCAUUAAUUAACUCUACCACACAAAUUUCAUGCAGCAAUUGCCAUGAUUUUUGUUCACUAAGAUCACAUACCAACCCCUGCACAUGCAUACACAACAUGAAUGCAUUCGCUUUUAUUGAGAGAAUGGUUUCACACAUUUGAAUGUGGCAACAUUGGGAAGCAUCUUCAGAGUUUCAUUGCUUCAAUAAAGGUUUUGAAAUUCUUGUAAGAAGAUCCGCCUUCGCUUACACUCUUUCUAGUCAUUUCCUUCAACUUCUCUGCAUUUGCUUUUAUACCAUCAUCAGAGACCAACUUUUCGAUCUUCAUCUUAAUCUCAUGCCUCGAUAUGAGUCCAUUUUCAUCUGGGUUCAACCCCAACCCCACCUUCCAUUUGUCGCAUAUGUAAUUCUGGUCAAGGAAUUGAUCUCCAACGUAGGGCCAGCAUAGGAAGGGGACUCCCAUGAUUAUGCUGUCCAUGGUUGAGUUCCAACCGCAAUGGGAAAAGAAACAUGCAACAGAAGGGUGAGCUAAAACCUCUUCUUGGGGUGCCCACGAAACAAUCUUUCCAUGGUCAGCUACUCUCUCAAUGAAACCAUCAGGGUAUUCAGCAGCUGACCCAUCGGUGAAGUCUGAUCGGACAACCCAUAAAAAUGGCCGCCCUACAAGUUCAAUACCAAGUGCUAAUUCAUUGAAUUGGUGCUGGGUUAAGUUUCCGGUGCUGCCAAAAGCAACAUAAAUGACUGAGCCAGCAGGUUGUUUAUCGAGCCAGCCUAUGCAAGUUGAAUCCUCAGGCCAAAAGUUUGCAGCAUAAUGACCCGGAUCACGACUUGCAGGUAACGGGCCAAUUGGUAAUAAGUUAGGAAUCAAGUCACAAGCAGAUGAGUCAAGUUCGUAAACACAGUUGCAAAGAAGCCUCUUGGAAGAAUUCAUAAAUUGAAUAGAUGUGAGAUAAAUUCGGAAAACCCACUCUUGUACCUUCAGAUCAAUUGGCCACUUCCAGGGCAAGCCGUUGCAGCUCAAGACUGGAAUACCCUUCGACACGCAGAUCAACUCAUCUUUCAGAGGAGUUCCUGCAGAGAUAUUUGAAUCAUUUCUAUCAAAACCAAGAAAUUUCUUAGACAACAAGUUAAUUUUAGAAAUAUGAUAUAAAUUAACAAGUUGAAGCCUUAAUACCAUCAGUACUAUUUACGAUUCCGGCCUCAAUUAGCUUUGGAAUAUGAAGUGCCAAAGCCCAGAUUCCUGCUCCCAUAGGACAAAAAAGGACCCCUUCGAUUCCCAUCUUCUCUGCCACCUCCAUUGGCCACCGCUCAAGUGUUAUGUCAGCAAUAACACAAGUGAUCUGCUCAUCAUCAUUCGAGCGGUUGACUUUCUCAAUUAAAUCCUUCAAAUGACCCGGCAUGACUCUUGAACUACUUUCUGUUAUCUUGAGCAAGUUUUUCCGAUCGUCCCCUGGAUCCAGACCAUCUGGGAUAGAGGCUAGCCUUAUCCCACUCUGAGCCUCAGCCUCAUGUGGGAGUGCAGCCAGCAGUUUAGCAUGUAUGAAGUCAGAGUUAACAAAGGUGACCUUGAUCCCGUGAUCAGAAAUCCGGUUUGCAAGCCUCAUAAGAGGAGCAACAUGUCCUUGCGCUGGGAGUGGUAUAAUCAGCACAUGAGGUCGCCUGCCCAUGGUCCUUGCUAACUUGCCAACACUUCCACCCUUCUCUUUGCUCUGAUCCCAAGCUUCACUAAUACUGAUACUGUUUUAUUAUCCUGAGCCCUCCUUGGAACUGUAUUUAUGAAAUUGAGGUGCAAAACUUUUUUCCCUUUCAAAAAACAAAGGGAAUAUGAAGUCCUCGCUAGCCUUUUUAACAAUGAAAACUAGUGGAAGUUCACCGACACCAGGUCUGGAAAACCCUCGUCUCAGAAAUGCAAGGAAAGGGAAGAACGUGAAGAAUUUGAAGACCUUCACACUUGGAUCAACCCUUGUUUUCUUCUUUUCUCCUCACCUUUCACCUUUCACUCUCAACCGUCUGCCCACACAUGCUUCCACAUAGCCCUAGCUGCUGCAUUAUUGGCCUUAGAAACCAGCCGCCAGACCAGCCCAACAUGUGGGUUUGAAAAAAAUACUUUCCUGAGCUGGAACCCAUAUAUGGGCAAGCCCAACAAAGUCCAUCUCUGAUUUAUGAAUUUAUUUUAUUACCUCAAAGCUAUAGGUUUGUGGGUCUGGCCCACACUUAUUGUGGUGUAAUCUCCUAUGUGGUUAAUUUGUCUUUAUAGUGUCUUCUAUGGCUCUGGAAGCAUAUUUAAGAAUUUCAUUUAGUUGGCUGCGUUUCAUCUCACAGUUUUAUGACUGUUAACGUUUAAGACAAAUACGUAUCUCUGUUGUGAGUAAGCUUUUCAGGCAGUGUCCUGGAAAACUAAUAGAAUUUGGAGGACUGUCUGAUUGAUCCUAAAGAAUUUUAGCUGAGUACAAAUGAAAUGUGGAAUUUCCAUUAUUCUAAGUUUUAAACUUAUAUUUCACUUAACAACCUUUUUUUUUCCUGCAUUACCACCUCAUAUUGGAUUGUAGCCAUCUUUUCUGUCAGUUUUUUCUUCUUUUCCAGUGUUGCUGAUGCAUCAAGAUAUAUAUCUUUUGUUUUAUAUGAUGAGGAAGUCAUCAUUACGUUUUUCCUUCGUCUUUUUUACAUACAAACUCUGAUGUAGCUUGAAUCUCUUGUCUUUUGCAUCAUCAGCUGUAUUUGUCUGUUUCUGUUAUAAACAAGCCUGUAUUGAUGUUGAGCCCUCCCUUCUACUUUAUUUAAGUAUUUCAUACAUUAUCUGGAAGCUAAAGUCUGUGGCUCAUAUCCUUUGUCACUUAUCUUGGUAUUUUGUCUUUAUAAAGUGUCUUCUGUGGCUCUCCAUUACAAAGGGUUAUGAAAAAGAUGUGGUUGUAAGGGUAUUCUCUUCUUUUGUCCGGACCUCUUCUUUUGGUGGUAACUUUUGUUGAAAUCCAAAAAAAAUUCAAAGAGAAAAAGAGAAGAAAAAAAAAUGUAGGAUUUCUUGUUAUGAAUUCUCUUGAAAAUAGGUGCAAUACUAUUACAAUUUAAAUAGACCUAAUAAAAGAAGAUAAAGACUAUUUUACCCUUACUUCUAAAGAUAUAGAAAAUAAUUCCAACAUUGUAACUAAAUAAACAACAAAUUAUUUUUUUGCCCUUUAGAAAAUUUUCCAUCACAUAACUCCAAAACAAAUAAUUUUAUUUUUUUGUAUCCAAUUUCCUACUAUUAGAUUAAAGGAAUCAUUUCAUUCACUAUGAUGAAUAAAAAACAAAUAACUAUCAAACAAAAAAAAAGCAUAUAUGAAUAAAAGAAAACGAAUACGAAAUCAAAUACUAUGAUCAAAUUAGAAAAGAAUUAUGUCAUUUAUCUUGGUAUUUUGUCUUUAUAAAGUGUCUUCUAUGGCUCACCAUUGCCACUUAUCAAAAGUUUAAUUAAAAGAUUAUUUUUGCUCUAAUACCAGGUUGAAAUCCAAAAAACGAUUUAAAGACAAAAAUAUUGAGAAAAAACAAAAUUUAGGAUUUCUUUUAAAAAUAACUCCAACAUCAUUAGAAUUUAAAUAAACAUAAUAAAAGAAAAUAAAAACUAUUUUAAUCUUGUAGAAAGAAAGAAAAUAAUUCUAAUAUAGUAACUAAAUAUAUAAUAACUAAAUAAUACAUAAUUCUAAUAUACUAACUAAAUAUAUCAAUAACUUCUAAUACCUUUUAAGAUUGGAUACCGUAGAUGGGCCCUUUUAAAUAAUAUUUCUUUGAUGUGAUGAUGGGUUGGAUAUUUUAGUAAAAUAUAGUGGGACUUAUUUUGGUUCUUUGAUUAUGAACUAAUAAUUGGUGAUACUCCAAAUGCAAUAUUUGAGUGUAUUAAUUUUUGCUAUGAUUAUUUUAAAUUAUGGUUACAUCGUAGAGGUCUUUUUCACAAGUAUAAUUGAUUAUAAAUAUAAUUAUAAUUUUAUUGUAAGACAUUUGAUAAAACCUAAUACAUAAUACUUAAUGAUUUAAGAUGAGUUUAAGUUAAAUUAUAUUUAAGUCAUUAAAUUAAUUGAGCAAAUGUCUUCAAAUUAUUUUUAAUUUUAAGUUAUAAUAUUUAUUAUGUGUUAGGAAUUUUAGGCUAAUCCAAUCUAUGGUAAUCACCUUAGAGGGAGAGGGGCGGGAAGGGGGUGAAUAGCGUGAUAGUCUCUUUUCACAAAUUUAAACAAGUGAAUGAAGAGACAAUUAUAUGCAAGUAUAUAAUAAGCAAUAUAAAGACAAUUGCAUAUAAAUUAAAGAGUACGGAAGAGAGAAUGCAAACACAAGUGUUUAUAGUGGUUCAGCGCAACCCAACCUACAUCCACUCUCCUCUAGCUUCAAUCCCAAGCUUGAGUUUCCUUUAAUCCAAGGCUUCCAACCCAAGCCUUCAAGCAAUACAAUUGGAUUAUGGUUCCAAUUCACCCUCUUGGACUUUUGGCUCCAAGCACCCUUUACACUUCACAAGAGAUAUCCCCCUCUUGAAAAACUUUCUCUUAAGAAUUUACAAAUAAAAGAUCACACAAAAAUCCUAGCACAAGAACUUUAAGCUCAAAUGAUACAAGAGAAACUAGGAUUGAAUGGUGCACUAAAGAUAUGCAAGUUUUGAAAUAAUGGUGCACUCAAAAAUACUAUUCCAAGGCUCAAAUAUAAUUAAGAAAGAUUUGGGAAGGUUAAUCUUUUUAAACAAUGAAGUUUGGAGCCUUUUUAUAGAAGAGAAAAACCAAACUAGUCGUUUGGGGGUUUGACCGGUCGAGCUAGGGGUCGACCGGUUGACUAGCCGUUAGCAUUAAAUGCUUGGCAGGUGACCAUUAGCCUCAACCGGACCUCGACCGGACCUCGACCGGUCCUCGACCAAGAAGAGAAGGCCACUGGGAGAGAGAGAAACUUUUUGGCCUUCCUCAACCGGUCCUCGACCAGACGAGCGCAACCGGUCCACCGGUUCCUCAACCAGUUGAACCGGUUGAGCCAUUUUUUGGCUCAACACCCAAUCUUUUUCAACUUAAAACCUUUUAAAACAAGUUUGAAAGAUAUUUAACACAAGGUUUUAGUUGAAAACAUGAAAUCAUUCAAUUCUUAAGAUAUUUAAAACAAUAUUACUUUUGGAUGAUUUUGGUGCAUAAAUAAAGAAUGAAAUGCAUGAAGUCCUAGUGCACCAACAGCCUUACAAAGAGAUCUUAUGAAGCUUGGGUCUUGAAAAACUCUUCUCUUUGAGGUGGUCUUCUUCUUCAUGAUUUCUCCUUGACUUGAUUUGUCUUUGUGAUUGCCACUUUGGAGAUCGUUUUGCCUAAUCACACUUGAAAUAUGAUCAUUAGUUCUAAACCUUGUUUUGUUAUCAUCAAAAUCAAGAUUAACCAAACCAUGGUUUCACAUUAUGAUUAAUAAUUUAUGUGAUUAGGUCGUUAAGAUAAUUUACCUAAUAAAUUUCUCUUACUUAGAUAAUCUUAUGAGAAGCAAACCUUGGCAUUCACUCUCACCUUUUACAAAGCUUUACUUCCUUGAUUUUCCAAGGGUGCUAUCGCUGAAACAUGAUGGUUUUGGAGGCUAUGUUGUUGAAUGUCCCAAAACCAUAUUGGAUUAGUUUCACCAUCACUUAGAACUCUUGGGUUGGAGCCCAUUUGACCAUAUUAUUUUAUACUUAUUGUUAUAAAAAUUAGGCUAAUACAACCUAGAGUAAUCACCCUAGAGAUGGGGUGAAUAGGGUGAUGGUAUUAUUUUGUAAAUUUAAAUUAUAUGAAUGCAAGAAACAAUUAUAUGCAAAUAUAUAAUAAAACAAUAUAAAGACAAUUGCAUAUAAAAUAAAAGAGUAGGGAAGAGAGAAUGCAAACACAAGAUUUUUAUAGUGGUUUAACGUAACCCAGCUUACAUCCACUCUCUUCUAGCUUCAAUCCCAAGCUUAAGGUUCCAUUAAUUUAAGGUUUUCAAACCAAGUCUUCAAGCAAUACAAUUGGAUUAUGGUUUCAACCACUAUCUUGGACUUUUGGCUCUAAGCACCCUUUACAAUCUCCAAGAGAUAUCUCACUCUUGAACAACCCUUCAAGUGACACUCCACACUUGAGAAUCCCUAAGUGAUACUUCACACUUAGAUUUUUAAUCUCAAAGAUUUAAAGAAGAAUCCUAGUACAAAACUUUAAGCUCAAAUGUACAAGAAAAACUGGGAUUGAAAGGUGUACUAGUGAUAUGCAAGUUUUAGAACAAUGGUGCACUAAAAAAUACUCUUCCAAUGCUCAAAUAUAUUUAAUUAAGGUUUAGGAAGUUAAAACUCUUGAAACAAUGAAGAUUGAAGCUUUUUCAUAAAAGAAAAAAACCAAAUUAGGCAUUAGGGGUUCUUUCGGUCGAGCUCCGAUUCAAUCGGUUCACUAGCCGUUAGCAUUUAAUGCAUGACAGAUGACCAUUGGACCUCGACCGUCCCUUAACCACCCAUCGAUUGGACCUUGACUGGUUGAAAAAGCAUUCUAGAAUAAAUAUAAGGUUUUUGCACCAUUCAAUCGAUUGAGCUAAACGAGUCGACUGGUUUCUCGUCUGGUUCAACUGGUUGAGUCGUUUUUUGCUCAACAACCAUCAUUUUUAACUUAAAACCUUUUUAAAAGGUUUAGAAAAUAUUUGACACAAGGUUUUAGUUGAAAACAUGAAAUCAUCCAGAGAGAAGAACUCAUGGAAAAUAUAGAAUGAAUGAAACUAAGGGAUCAAGACACAUCCAAAGAAGGAUGAACAAUGAACCCCAAAAGAAGAUAGAAAACCCCUCACAAUCUAACCCAAUUUGUUUUAAGUGUGGUAAGGUAGACCACUAAUAAGAAAGAUUGUAAGGUUAAAAAGAAAAUUAAUAACUUAAACAUUUCAAAAGACUUAAAAGACAUGCUUUGCAAAGUAAUAUUAAACUCCUCAGAAUUUGAAUCAAGGACUGGUUCAAAUAAUGCAAGGAAAGGGAAGACCGUCCGCCCACACAUAUGCUUCCACAGCUUCACAAACAUAGCCCUAGCUGCUGCAUUAUUGGUCUUAGGAACCAGCCGCCAGACCAGCCCAACAAAUCAUAUUGGGUUGUAGCCAUCUUUUCUGUCAGUUUUUUCUUCUUUUCUAGGGUUGCAGAUGCAUCAAGAUAUAUAUCUUUUGUUUUAUAUGAUGAGGAAGUCAUCAUCACCUUUUUCGUUCGUCUUUCACAUACAAACUCUUAUGUAGCUUGAAUCUCGUCUUUUACAUCAUCAGCCGUAUUUGUCUGUUUCUGUUAUAAACAAGCCUGUACUGAUGUUGCUGAGCCCUCCCUUCUACUUUAUUUAUGUACUUCAUACAUUAUCUGGAAGCUAAAGUCUGCGGCUCAUUUCCUUUGUCACUUAUCUUGGUAUUUUGUCUUUAUAAAGUGUCUUCUCCCGAGAAAUCGGCGAUAUAUCGGCGAUUUUUCCCGCUUUCGAGGGGAUUUGAACCCCAAACCAAAAGAAUAUAUUGUGCACUAAACUUAUAUAUACUUAAACUCAUUAUAUAAAGAAAAUAUUAAAAGAAUAUUUUAAAGAGCAAAUUAAUUAUAAUUAUUUUAUAAUUAAAUACAAAAUUUUCUUUUAAUUGAUUACCAAAAAUAUAAAAAUUAUAUAAUUUUCUUCAUAAUGUUUUUAAUAUCAUUAAUAAUUAAUUAAAUAUUAAAAAAAAUUUAUAUAUAUAUAUAUAUAUAUAUCAUAAUUUAUUUUAUAUUGUUUAAUACAAUUAAAUUAAAUGGAUCAUAAUUUUAAUAUUAAUAUAUAUUUUAAAAUUAGACAUAUUAUAAUCAAAUAUCAUAAUAGUAGAUGUAAUUUAAUAAUAAAUGUACACUUAUAAAAUUCAUAUUUUUAUCGAUGCAUACGAUAUUAUUAUCAAAUAUGAUAAAUCAUGUUAUACAUAUAUCAAAAUUUUUCAAUAAAAUAACUUUAAAAUGUCUAUUAUACUUCUAAUUAUAUUAUUAUGAGGUUUUCCUUACAUUUUUAUGAGUUUUUAAUAAUUUUAAGUCUACCGAUAUUUUUUUCCAAAAUAUCCGCCGAUAUAUCUCCAAUAUAUCCGAUAUAUACGUAAAAUCGAAGUACCGAUAUUUUCAUCCUUGGUUACAUCUUAGAGGUUUUUUUUCAUAAGUAUAAUUGAUUAUAAAUAUAAUUAUAAUAUUAUUAUAAGACAUUUGAUAAAACUUAAUACAUAAUACUUAAUGAUUUAAGAUGCGUUUAAGUUAAAUUAUAUUUAAGUCAUUAAAUUAAUUGAACAAAUAUCUUCAAAUUAUUUUUAAUUUUAAGUUAUAAUAUUGAUUAUGAUUAAUAAUUUAUGUGAUUAGGUCGUUAAGAUAAUUUUUCUAAUAAAUUUCUUUCACUUAGAUAAUUUUAUGAGGAGCAAACCCUGGCAUUCACUCUCACCCUUUUACAAAGCUUUACUUCCUUGAUUUUCUAAGGGUGCUAUUGCUCAAACAUGAUGGUUUUGGAAGCUAUGUUGUUGAAUGUCCCAAAACCGUAUUGGAUUAGUUUCACCAUCACUUAGAACCCUUGGGUUAGAGCCCAUUUGACCAUAUUAUUCUACACUUAUUUUUAGAAAUUGUUUUGAAGUUAAAAAAAAAAAAGUUACAGUUUUUAUUUUCUAAAAACAAUGGUGUUUAGCAACUUUGUUUUUAAAAACACUUUUUAAAAAAUUUUAAAAAAAAAUUGGAUAAUUUUUUUUAAUAUUUCGAUUUUAUAAAAAAAAUCAUAGACUUAAUGUAUAUAAUAUUAAUUAAAUUUAAUUCAAGCCUUGUGUAGACCCCUUUUAUUGGAGGGACCCGGGGGGGAGAGUUUUUUUUUUUUUUUUCUCUCUCUCUUUUGGGCAUUUCUUUUUUUUAACAAAAGGGGGGGACCAACUGCAGGAGAGGAGGAGGAGCAGGGAUGGCCAUAAUUUGAGGGGUCAUGCCUGCUAAUGAGGACACAGGAGAGUGGGUGAGAGAGACAGGAGGGUCUUGAGGUUAGGAGGGAAGCUGGUUGGAGGUAGCCUGAAGGUAUGACUGCUAUGAAUGCUUGGGUUUUUCUUCAUUGGAGCAUAAUCUCUCUCUGUUUUUCUAGAUUUUUUUUUUAUGUGGAUCGUUUGGCUCUGUGUUUAGUUUUAUGGUUUAUGCUUGGUUGCUAUCUCCUUCAUUUUUCCAUGGGAUGCAUGUUUGAUUUAACUCACCCUCAUCUAAACCCAUUGAUUCAAACAUGUAAUAUGGCUUGGAUGGGUUCGUUUUAUCCUUUCCCAUUGUGCUCUAUUUGCUAUUUUCCCAUGUUCUCAAUGCCCUGCCAUGGUGAAUACCAUAGUUCUCCAUUUUGUCGGAGAUUUUAUACCGGAGAGCACCCACAAUCGCGGCCUCAGGUGCAGCCAGUGUUGGUGCUGGCGGGGGCAGGCGCUGGCUAGUGCUGACAGGCGCUAGUUGGUGCUGGUUGGUGCUGGUUAGUGUUGGCUGGUGCUGGCUGGCACUAGCUGGUGCAGGCGCUAGCGCGGCAUCCAGUGACGAUGCCGAUGCCACCCCAGGCAACUCAUUCCACACCGGCAACCUUUCUCCUUCUUCCACCUUGGGCUCGCCCAUUGAUGAUGGGUGUGGGACUGAGUUAGAGCCCAGGCCCGUUUGUGAGGGUGAGGAGCCUCAUGCCAGCCAUCUUCCUAGCCUAAGUCCACCUUAAGUUGGUGCCUUGGGCUUGCCCAUAUUGGUGACAGGUUUGGGCUUAAGUUGGAGCCCAGGCCCACAGUUGCUGAUGAAAGGCCCUUUUGCUCCCUAUGCUAUCCAUCUCCAUGGCCCAAGUCCAUGUUGGAUUAGCCCAUUUGGCCACAUUAUGUCUAAACAAGUUUUUGAAUCCCUAACCUUAGUAAAUUAUUAACUUAUUCAUGCUUUUUUUUAUUAUUAUUAUUUAUUCUUAUUUUAUCUUCACCAAUUUAGUUAGCUCAACUUAAAGACAAUUAAAAGAUAAAUUAUUAUUGUUAAUUAUAUUUUUAUCUUGAAAUUUACACGAUUCAAUUUCACUAGUUUAAACAUUAUGAUUGUCAACUAUUAUUAUUAUUUCGUACGUAUCUAUUCAUCAUCUUUCAAAAUCUCAAUCAUCAAAGUUAAAUUCUAAUCCUUCAAAAACCCCAUAUCUUAAUCUAAUAUUUCAAUAAUCCGUUUAAAUCUCGUUUUCAUCAAUUAAGAAUUAUUAUCAUAUAUUUAUCUAGUUAUUUGAAGUUUUACCCUUUCAAAAAUCCCAUAUCUUAAUUCAAUUUUUCAAUAGUUCGUUCAAACCUUAUUCGUCUAAAUGUUAUCUUCCUUAAGUAGAAUUAUUAUCAUAUAUCUAUUUAUUUAUUUAAAGUCUAAUUCCUCAAAAACCCAGCGUCCUAAUUUAAUUCUCGACCCUAAAAAUUCCACUAUUCUUUUUUAUUCGUCUAAAUGUCAUUUUCGUUAAUUAAGAAUUAUUGUCUCAUAUUUAUUUAUUCAAAGUCUAAUCCUUCAAAAAUCCAAUGUCAUAAUUUAAUUUUCAAUCCUAAAAAUUCCACUAUUCGUCUAAGUGUUAUUUUCGUCAAUUAGAAACUCGAUACUUGUUUACCUCUUUUAAAAAUCUCAAUCAUUGAACUUAAUUCUUGACCCUAAAAAUUCCACCAUCCUUUUUUUUAUUCGUUUAAAUGUUGUUUUCAUUAAUUAGUAUUAUUACCCCAUAUUAGUUUAUUUAUUUAAAAUCUAAUUCUUCAAAAACCUCAUGUCUUAAUUUAAUUUUUCAAUCCUAAAAAAUUCUACGAUUCGUUAAAAUGUUAUCCUCAUCAAUUAGCAUCAUUAUCCCAUAUCUAUUUAAAGUCCAAUCUUUCGAAAACCUCAUGUCCUAAUUUAACUUUCAAUCCUAGAAAUUUCGUUAUCCGCCUAAAUGUUAUUUUCAGUAGUUAGAAUUAUUAUCAUAUAUCUAUUUAUUUAUUUAAAGUCUAACUCUUCAAAAAUUCAACGUCUUAAUUUAAUUUUUAAUCCUAAAAAUUCCACUACUCAUUUUCUAUUCGUUUAAAAUAUUGUUUUCAUUAAGUAGCAUUAUUAUACCAUAUUAUCUAUUUAAUCUAACCGUUAAAAUUCAAUUCAUCAGAACCCGACUUCCAAAUCUAAUUUCCAACCUCAAAAGCUCCACCGCCCACAUAUCGUCGUUUAAUGAUUAUUUUCGUUAUCAAUGUUAUCCCAUCCACUCGCUUAUUCAGUUAUUCAUAUACCAAAGAUCUCAUCUGUAAAUAAAUUCUUAAGUUUUCAAUCUCUAAAUUCACAUCUUCAAAUCUCUAAAAUUCCAUCUUUCGCAAUUAUUUACCUAAACUCUAUUGUUUCACCAUCGCUAUUUCAUUCCUUUACUUAUUCACUCAUCCACUUAUCCCCUCAUUUAAAAUCCCGAACUUUCAAAUCAUUUUCAAGUUUCCAACCUCGUUCAAAUUUAAUUUCUAAAAAUUCUCAUUCUCACAUUUAAUUCCUGAAAGUCCAAUCUUCAAGUAAACUCUAAAAUCCCAAUUUUCUUUAAAUAACCCUCGGGACUCCAAUAUUUCAAAUGAACUUCAAAAAUCCAAUUUUCUCUCAAAUAGCUUUAAUUCCAUUCUGGCCUUCAAACAAUCUUCUGCUCCUCUUGAUUUUAAUAAGCCUGAAUGAAUUUUCCGUAAUUCCGAAUAAUGGAAUUUAUGGGAUUAAUUCAUGCAAUAUAAAUCGGGCUUUGGUGGGGGCCCAACAUAUGUGAUUUCCUUAUGAUUGAUUGAUUGUUUGCUUGAUUUAAUUAUCAUGCAUGAUUAAUUUUAUUCUACUCUAUGACAUGCUCGAAAUUAUUCCUUAAUUGUGCACUAACCUCACUUCUUGAUAGCGCUUUAUGGAUCACUACCCAGGUACGCAUCCACAUCCGCUCGGGUCAUUUUCUGUAUGCAUGUUUAGAUUCUCACAUGUGCAUGAUCACUCUGAGUAUUCAUUGAUUCCCUCAUCAAUUGUCAUGAUUGCUUCAUUUUAUUAGUAGAGACUCAACUUUAGGGACUUAGAAGGGUGCUACGGUCCUUACCGUACAUUCUUGAUAAGUAACCUGUCCCCCGAACCCGAUCCGGUUUUUCGUAGACCACUUUUUCCAAAUAAGGAGUCACACUUAGGGUUUUUUCUUUCUUAUUUUGUUUACUCUUUUAAAAAUAAAACAAAAAUAAGUGGCGACUCCAAGUCAUCUUUCUAGAAAACACCAUAAAAUCAAAUUUUCAAAUAAAAAAUGCGUUUCACCAUCGAGUGGGAAACGCAUGAGCCGAAAUGCGAGGUCCACACCUUGUUAAAAAUAAAAAUAAUUUUGUAAGAAAUAAAUAUAAGUUAUAGUUUAGAUUAUUUGUUAAAUAUGGGUCACUAUUUGGAUUUCAAAUUAUUUUUAAAGUUACUAAACUUAUUAAUAAAUUAAAUGGAAUAAGUCUUGCUUGAUGUGAAGUCUAUUUGUUUGGUAAAAAAAAAAAAAGGAAAUAUGAUUUCAUGCAAAAAAGAAAAAUAAGUUAUUAUGAAUUAAUUUUUGUCCAUAUAAUUCUUGUAUUAAUUGAAUCAUUAUUUGAGUUCUAAACUAUUUUUAAAAAAUUGUUGGACUGGUUGAUAAAUCCAAUACAUCAAGUUUUACUUGAUUUGAAGUUUAUUUGUCUACUAAACAGAUUUGAAAAAAUAUAAUUAUAUGUAACAAAAAAAACAUUGGAAAGUUAUUCAAAAUUGGAUUAGCUUUUAGUUCCAAGAUUUUCUAAUAUUAUUGGUUUUUUAGUCUUGAAUUGUUUUUAAAAAUUAGAAAACACAAAAAUGUUUUAAAAUUACAUGGUCAAAUAAACUAUUAGACCCUAUUUGACUUUCUGAUUUAAAAAUAGGUAACUAUUUUUAAAAAUUCAUAGCACUUUUUUUUAUGCGAACCUCAAUCAACACGAUUUGAGACCCAACAAAUAGUAUUGGAAUAAUGCCCAAGAAAGCUAAAAUACAAAUUUUUGAUAGAACCCUGACCCAAUGCUUAUAAGUGAAACGCAAACCAAAAGUAUAAGUAACAGACCUUGACCCAAUGAUUACAAUGGAAUCACGAACCAAAGGUAUAAGGUUUGAACGCCACAAGGAAGAAUCUCUGAUAAGUUCACAGUUUUGAAGAACCAAAAGAAGAGCAAAGCCUCACCUUUUCUGAUUUUUUAUUCAAUUAAAAUUAUCCCCCAUUACAAUGAGUGCAUGCUAUUUAUAUGUCAUGAAAAAAACUUAUUAAAUAUUAAAACCCUAAACUAAAAAAGGUACUAAAUAUUAAAACCCUAAAUAAAGGUUGAUUUGGUCAGAAAUUAGCAGAUCCAAAAUAGGAAAAUAGCUAAAAAAACGUUCUAAAUAAUAAAAGCUUAAAAUUAAGGUAGAUUUGGCCUGAAUUUAGAAGCUCUAGAAUAGGAAAUAAUUGAUAUGAAGUUGGAAAGUCAACCAGUCAUUAAUCCAUGCCAUAAAUCAUGCCCAAUCAAGCCAAAUUAGCCCUCAAUAGCUUGGAUUAAAUUUAUUACACAUUCAUCUUCCUUUAGGCCAAACUUGGACUAUCUUGCGUUAGAAUCAAUCCAAAUCUCUUGAAGUAUCCCAUUAAGUUCUUUUUUGAUCUUCUUAGAUCUUGCUUUAGUAAUAAGCCCAAUUGGAACAUGCAAUGGAUCCUUGAAUGCUUGUUGAUUCUCAUCAUUUUUUGUCAUAGUUUUUAUUUCUAAUUUUUAGAAACAAAAGAAAAUAGAGAAUAUUUUUUAAAAGAGAAGUAGAAGUUGUUUUUACUAGUUUAUAAAAACAAAGUAAAAACAUAAAGAAAUUUAAAGAAAAAAAAAUCAUAAAAAGACAAAUAAAAUCGUAUAUGAUAUAUUUCUUUCUCUCUCUAUAGAAAUUGAAAAUCUUCAAAUAUGAUAUUCCUUUGAAUUAUUUAUAUAAAAUUGUAUAUGAUACUUUUCCCAACCACUCCACCCACUCUCUCUCCUUUUUGCCCAUACCACUCACCUAGGAGACUCAUACCCCUUUUCCUUAGGAAUGGCAAUUUUUUGGGUAAUUCGGGUCACCCGCCCCGCCCCGCUCCUACUGGGACGGGUAUGAGAAUAUCCUAUUUGGACAUAGAACAGGUUUGGGGAAUAUAUAAAAACCCGAAUCAGGUUUAGGGCGGGGAUGGGUUUUGCAGUUUCCGCCCCGUCCUGUAUGUGAAUUACCAAUUUACCCUUAUGUCAUUACAAAAUACCCAAAAAGUCUUUCAUAUAUAAUCAUUUCUUCCUCAAGUUUUAGGGUUAUUUCACUCGUGAGAGAGUCAAAGGGCUUUCGCUCUUAGAGGGCUUUCGUUCUCAUUUCUUCCCGUUUUCUCAUUCUUCCUAAAUUGCUCAGGGUUCUUUUGCUUGUAAGAGGCCUUUCGUUUUCUCAUUUCUUCCCAUUUUCUCAUUUAUUCCUGAAUUGUUUCUUCCCGUUUCACCCUAAAAGCACAAUUUUUGCUCUAAAAACCAAACUACCAAAUUCGUAGACAACAAAUUAUUAGGGUUUCUAUGGAUUCCUCAUUUCCAAGUAAGAAAACCCUAAGUUUUGAGGUUUUGUUAGAAAUGUCUUGUUUUUCAUAUUUUCUGGUUUUGGUUGAUGGAUUUGAGAUUUUUUGGGUUGUUUAUUUGUAGAUCUAUGCAUUUUGUUCUUGUAUGUGCAGUUUGCAAUUUUGUUGCACAACAAAUGCUUGAUUAAAUGUGUUUAUGAUAACCCAGAUAACGUUUAUUGAAAUUUCAGAGACCCAUGUUCUGUAAAAGCAUAAUUCCCGAAAAUGCAUUUGGGACAGGGAUGAGAUUAUCAGCUCUUUUGUAAACGGGCAUAGGGAACACCAACUCGCCCCGCCCCGGGUUUGGGACGGGGAUGGGAAAAAACAUAUAUAACCGGGAUGGAAAUGAGGUAAGGGUGGCCCGUCCCAUACUCGCCAUGUUGCUAUCCCUACUUCUCCUCUUUUUUUUUUUUUUUUCUUUUCUUUUCCCAUUUUUUUUUUUUUUUUUUGUUGUUGCUCUUCUUCUUCUUCUUCUUCCACAUUGUCCCAUAGCCUUCUCUCCCUCCCUUUUUCUCCCAUUCUUUUUGCUCACAUUUCUACUCUUCUUUUUUUUUUCCAAAAAAAUCUAUCACUCCUCACCACCGCCAAUAAGACCACCAACCAAUCACCGUCAGUGAACCAUUGCCGACAACCCCCUUCUCUUCUCUCACUUUCUCAUCUCACUCAUUUUCCGUUUUUAUUAUUCAUUUUAUUUUAUUUUCCUUUUUCCUUUUUUUUCUUCUUUCUUUCUUUCUCCCUUUAACUCCAUUGUCGGCCACUUGCCGCCAGCUAACAAUUCCGACAACCCAUAGAUUCUUCAAAAAAAAAAAAUGUGUAAGCCCAUUUAUGUAUUUCUUUAUUUUAUUUUUCUUAUUAUUAUCAUUUUUUUUUUUGUUUGUGAGAUUUGAAUUGUUGAAUUAAUAUGAAAUUUGGGCUUUGUUAAUUAAUAUAGAAUUUAGGUUGUGGAUAUAUUCCAUUUUUUGGUUAAUUUGAGGUAUUUGGAUUAGGCCAAUUCCAUAUUGUUUACCUUAUUUGGACUUACGGCUCAUUGUUUAUUGAUUAUUUAUUUGGCUUAUUGGAUUGGGAUUGAGACCUUAUUUCCUUUGGCCUUGCAUAUUAUUAAUGUGGGCUUGUUAAAUAAUAUGAAACUUGAGCUCAUUUGUUGUGGAUAAAAUUUGUUGGAUUGGAUGAUAAUUGAUAUGAGUUUUAUCCAUUUGAAAUAUGUAAUUGGGGCAUGAGACAAUUGUGGUAUAUUUUGGAUGUUAUUUCGAGUUUACAUAUUAAAUUGGGCUCAAUUAUUUUGGAUUAUGGGAUAUUGAAUUUAGGCCUAAUUGAAUUUGUUUUAAUUAUCAAAUUUUUGGGUUUGGUUGAUUGUGUUUGUAUUUUGGUUAUUAAUUUGAAAUUUUUUUGUUAAGACCUAUAACAUGUGAGAUAUUUCUAUUGAGUUAUAUUUGCUAAUUUAGACUCAUUUUGAUAGACGAAAUUUAUUAGACUAAUUUGAAUUUUGAAUUUGGGUUUGAAUAUUUGUUUGGGAUUUUGUACAUUUUUUUUAUAUUUAUGACAUGUGGAGUAUGAAAUUUUAUGAAAGAAAGUGAGACUCAAAAAGUUGUAUGAAGACAUUGAACUUGUUGUAAGCUUGUUGGGGUAUCCAUUUUAUUUCCCGCUUUUAUUUGGUUUAUUUUUAUUAAUUUUUAUAAAUAUUUGUUUGUGUAUAAUUACUCAUUGUGUACAUAAUUUAAUAUCAAACAAAUCAUAAAUUUUGUUUAAAUAAGAGGAACAAUUCAGUAAACAUGUUUUAAUAAAAUAAUAGUUCAUAAAAUAUUCUUUUUAAUAAAAAUAAGUUUUCAAAAUGUUUUUAGGAAAAUCUAGAAAAUUGUUUUUAAUAAUAAUUGUUUGACAAAAAAUGGUUUUUUAAAUAAAUUCUAUUUUCUUAAUUAGAUAUGAUUAAAAGUAAUUUUUUAUAGAUAAGGGUCUUAAAUAAUUUUUUUAAUAAGAAUGAAAUUUGCAAAUCGAAGUUGUAGAAAUCAUUUUUUAAUAAAAUUGGGUUGAAAAUAUUUUCAUAAACAAAGUUUGUAAAGAAAUUAAUUCAUUUUGUAAAUAAAGAUGUAAAAAUUCAUUCAUUUUUUAAUAAAAACAAAAAAAAAAAUAUUUUUUUUUGUCAAAUUGAAAUUUUGUAAUAAAUUGUUUUGAUAAGAUAAAUGUAUACAACUUUCUUGAAAAGAAAAAUUGAAAACAAAUAAAGAUGAAUAAAAUCAUUUAUUGAAAAUAAAUGGAAAUUUUUUUUUUUUUUGUAAAUAAUUAAAUUGAAAUCAUCAAUUCAAAAUUGUUUUAAUAAAAUCCUUUGAAAUUAAAAAAAAAAAAUCAUUUUUUAAAAUAUAUUUUUUAAUCCAUUCAAUCAAUCAAUUUGCAUAAUUCUUUUGUCAUUUAUUUUGUGUAUUCUUGUAAUUAGAUUUCAUCAUUAUUUUUUUAUAUAUUGAUUUUCACUAUGACUUGUAAAUACUCAUUUAUGUUAUUAUUUUUUUUUUUUGUAUUCAUAAUUAAUUAAUUAAUUUUCACAAUUCCCUUGAUUCGUUUAGUAGAGACCAUAUGUAUACGGGCUUAGAAGAGUGUUACAGCUCACCACCGUACCUUUCCAAUAGGUAACCUAACCCACGGAUCUAGACUCGGUUUUUCAUAAACCUGUUUUUCCUUCAGGAGUCACACUUAGAGUUUUUCUUUUUUAUUUUGUUUUUCCCUUUAAAAAUAAAAUAAAAAUAAGUGGCGAGUCCAAGUCUUUUUUUAAAAUCAUAUUUUCACCAAAUGAAAAGCAAAUCUCGUUGUUGAGUGAGGAUGCACAUGAAAAAUGUGGGUCCAUAGUGUUAUAUUCAUCAACAAGUAUGAUAAUUUAAAAAAUAAAUCAAUUUGAAAAUCAAAUGGUAACCAAUUAAUACAAAAUAUUUAUAGAUAAAAAUUGUUUCACAAAUACUCUAUUAUUUCCUUUUUUUUUACACAUAAUUAUUAUGAAAUUAAGGUCUGGUUAAUCUCGAUUUUGAUGAUAACAAAAUAAGGUUUAGAACUAAUGAUUAUAUUUCAAGUGUGAUUAGGCAAGACGAUUUCCAAAGUGGCAAUCACAAAGACAAAUCAAGCCAAGAAGAAAUCAUAAAGAAGAAAACCACCUCAAAGAGAAGUGUUUUUCAAGACCCAAGCUUCAUAAGAUCUCUUUGUAAGGUUGUUGGUGCACUAGGAUUUUCAUGCUUUACAUUUUUUACUUAUGCACCAAAAUCAUCCCAGAAUUAUUUUGUUUUAAAUAUUUUAAAAUUUGAUGAUUUCAUGUUUUCAACUAAAACCUUGUGUCAAAUGUUUUUCAAACUUGUUUAAAAGGUUUUAAAUUGAAAAAGUUGGUUGUUGAGCCAAAAAUGACUCAAUCGGUUGAACCAAAUGAGGAACCAAUCGACCCCUAGCUCAACCGAUCUAGGAGCAGGUCGACCCCCAGUUCAACCUGUCAAUGGUGUAAACAGUAACCGAUUAACCCCUAACUCAACCGGUCGAGGGGUGCAAAAAACCUUAUCUCUCUUCUAGAAUGGUUGUUCAACUUGAUGAGGAACUGGUCGAGGUCCAACGGUCACCUGCCAAGCAUUAAAUGCUAAUGGUUAGUCAACCGAUCGACCCCCAACUUGACUAAUCAAACCUCCAACGGCUAGUUUGGCUUUUUUCCUCUAUAAAAAGGCUCCAAAUCUUCAUUGUUUAUGAGCUCAACCUUCCCAAACCUUUCUUGAAUAUAUUUGAGCCUUGGAAGAGUGUUUUGAGUGCACCAUUGUUCUAAAACUUGCAUAUCAUUAGUGCAUCAUUCAAUUCUAGUUUUCUUGUAUCAUUUGAGCUUAAAUUUUUGUACUAGGAUAUUGUGAGAUCAAUUAUUUAUAUAACUUUGAGAGGAAGAUUCUCAAGUGUGGGGUAUCACUUAGGAGGUUGUUCAAGAGUGGGGUAUCCCUUGAGAAUUGUAAAGGGUGCUUGGAGUCAAAAGUCCAAAAAAGUGGAUUGGAACCAUAAUCCAAUUGUAUUGCUUGAAGGCUUGGUUUGGAAGCCUUGAAUUAGUGGAACCUCAAGCUUGGGAUUGAAGCUAGAAGAGAGUGAAUGUAGGUCGGGUUGCGCCGAACCACUAUAAAAUCUUGUGUUUGCAUUCUCUCUUCCCUAAUCUUUUACUUUAUAUGCAAUUGUCUUUAUAUUAUUCUGUUUAUAUACUUGCAUAUAAUUGUCUCUUGCAUUCACAUAGCUUAAUUUUGCAAAAAAAGAUCAUCCCCCUAUUCACCGCCCCUCUUUCGGGUGAUUACCAUAGGUUGGAUUAACCCAAUUUUUCUAACAAUUAUAAUAUUACUAUUUACAUUUUUACUAAAAACUAUUUAUUUGUAAAUUAUAAAUUUUUUUUCAUUUUUAAUUACACAUCAAUUAAAUUCAAUUAAUAUAAUUAAUAUUAUGCAAAUUGAAUUUAUAAUACAAAAAUCAAAAUAAAAAAUUAUUUUUAAAAAACAAUCUGCGAAAUAUCCGUAUUUUUGUAAAAUACUUAAAAAGAAUAAAAAAAGAGAAACUCUAUUUUCUUUUUAUAAACUUAAAAACAGUUUUUUUUUUAAAACAAACAUUACAAAACAUGGUCACUCGGGUCUUGAGGCCUCUAUCAACAUGUUUUGUUUGUUUUGUUUCCUUUAUUGCCCAAUUUUUGUGUAAGCUCUAAAUAAUGCCUCUUUCAAUCCUUUCCAAUUCCUCUGUUCGUGCACACUUUUUUUUUUUUUUAUGUUGCCAUGUAGGCAACAGUAUAGUUCUUGAUCCCCCAAUCAGAGAAAACUAAAAAAUUAUACAUAAUUCUUUGCUCCACUACUAAUGCAUUACAUCAAUAUCUGUCAUUAAUUAACUCUUACCACACAAAUUUUAUGCAGCAAUUGCCAUGAUUUUUGUACACUAAGAUCACAUACCAACCCCUGCACAUGCAUACACAUUGCUUUUAUUGAGAGAAUGGUUUCACACAUUUGAAUGUGGCAACAUUGGGAAGCAUCUUCAUUGUUUCAUUGCUUCAAUAAAGGUUUUGAAAUUUCUGUAAGAAGAUCCGCCUUCGCUUACACUCUUUCUAGCCAUUUCCUUCAACUUCUCUGCAUUUGCUUUUAUACCAUCAUCAGAGACCAACUUUUCAAUCUUCAUCUUAAUCUCAUGCCUCGAUAUGAAUCCAUUUUUAUCUGGGUUCAACCCCAAGCCCACCUUCCAUUUCUCGCAUAUGUAACUCUGGUUAUGGAAUUGAUCUCCUAAGUAGGGCCAGCAUAGGAAGGGGACUCCCAUGCCUAUGCCGCCCAUGGUUGAGUUCCAUCCACAAUGGGAAAAGAAACAUGCAACAGAAGGGUGAGCUAAAACCUCUUCUUGGGGUGCCCAUGAAACAAUCUUUCCAUGGUCAGCUACUCUCUCUAUGAAACCAUCUGGGUAUUCAGCAGCUGAUUCAUCGGUGAAGUCUGAUCGGACAACCCAUAAAAAUGGCCGCCCUACAAGUUCAAUGCCAAGUGCUAAUUCAUUGAAUUGGUGCUGGGUUAAGAUUGUAAAGCUGCCAAAGGCAACAUAAAUGACUGAGCCAGCAGGUUGUUUAUCGAGCCAGCCUAUGCAAGUUGAAUCCUCAGGCCAAAAGUUUGCAGCAUAAUGACCCGGAUCACUACUUGCAAGUAACGGGCCAAUUGGUAAUAAGUUAGGAAUCAAGUCACAAGCAGAUGAGUCAAGUUCGUAAACACAGUUGCAAAGAAGCCACUUGGAAGAAUCCAUAAUUUGAAUAGAUGUGAGAUAAAGUCGGAAAACCGACUCUUGUAUCUUUAGAUCAAUUGGCCACUGCCAGGGCAAGCUGUUGCUGCUCAAGACUGGAAUACCCUUCGACACGCAGAUCAACUCAUCAUUCAGAGGAGAUCCUGCAGAGAUAUUUGAAUCGUUUCUAUCAAAACCAAGAAAUUUCUUAGACAACAAAUUAAUUUUAGAAAUAUGAUAUAAAUUAACAAGUUGAAGCCUUAAUACCAUCAGUACUAUUUACGAUUCCGGCCUCAAUUAGUUUUGGAAUAUGAAGUGCCAAAGCCCAGAUUCCUGCUCCCAUAGGACAAAAAGGGACCCCUUCGAUUCCCAUCUUCUCUGCCACCUCCAUUGGCCACCGCUCAAGUGUUAUGUCAGCAAUAACACAAGUGAUCUGCUCAUCAUCAUUCGAGUGGUUUACUUUCUCAAUUAAAUCCUUCAAAUGACCCGGCAUGACUCUUGAAAUACUUUCUGUUAACUUGAGCAUGUUUUUCCGAUCGUCCCCUGGAUCCAGACCAUCUGGGAUAGAGGCUAGCCCUAUCCCACUCCGAGCCUCAGCUUCAUGUGGGAGUGCAGCCAGCAGUUUAGCAUGUAUGAAGUCAGAGUUCACAAAGGUGACCUUGAUCCCAUGAUCAGAAAUCCGGUGUGCAAGCUUCAUAAGAGGAGCAACAUGUCCUUGCGCUGGGAGCGGUAUAAUCAGCACAUGAGGUCGCCUGCCCAUGGUCCUUGCUAACUUGCCAACACUUCCACCCUUCUCUUUGUUCUGAUCCCAAGCUUCACUAGUACUGAUACUGUUUUAUUAGCCUGAGCCCUCCAUGGAACUGUAUUUAUGAAUUUUAUACCUAUUGCCCUCCUAAUUGAGGUGCAAAACUUUUGUCCCUUUCAAAAAACAAAGGGAAUAUGAAGUCCUCGCUAGCUUUUUCAACAAUGAAAACUAGUGGAAGUUCACCGACACUAGAGAUGGAAAACCCUCGUCUCAGAAAUGCAAGGAAAGGGAAGACCGUCCGCCCACACAUAUGCUUCCACAGCUUCGCAAAACAUAGCCCUAGCUGCUGCAUUAUUGGCCUUAGAAACCAGCCGCCAGACCAGCCCAACACGUGGUUUUGAAAAAAAAUUCUUCCCUGGGCUGGAACCCAUAUACGGGCGGCAAGCCCAACAAAGUCCAUCUCUGAUUUAUGAAUUUCUUUUAUUAUCUCAAAGCUAUGGGUUUGUGGGUCUGGCCCACACUUAUUGUGGUGUAAUCUGCUACGUGGUUAAUUUGUCUAUAUAGUGUCCUCUAUGGCUCUGGAAGCAUAUUUAAGAAUUUCAUUUAAUUGGCUGCCUUUCAUCUCACAGUUUUAUAUGACUGUUAACGUUUAAGACAAAUACGUAUCACUGUUGUGACUAAGCUUCUCAGGCAGUUUUUUCUUCUUUUCUAGUGUUGCUUAUGCAUCAAGAUAUAUAUCUUUUGUUUUAUAUGAUGAGGAAGUCAUCAUCACGUUUUUCCUUUGUCUUUUACAUACAAACUCUUAUGUAGCUUGAAUCUCGUCUUUUGUAUCAUCAGCUGUAUUUGUCUGUUUCUGUUAUUAAUAAGCCUGUAUUGAUGUUGCUGAGCCCUCCCUUCUACUGUAUUUGUGUAUUUCAUACAUUAUCUAAAAGCUAAAGUCUCUGAUUAUCUUGGUAUUUUGUCUUUUUUGCCACUUGUCUUGGUAUUUUGUCUUUAUAAAGUGUCUUAUGUAGCUCUCCAUUGCCACUUAUCAAAAGUCUCAUUAAAAUAUCAUUUUUGCUCUCAUACCAAGUUGAAAUCCAAAAAAAGAUUCAAAGAGAAAAAGAUUGAGAAAAAAAAUUAGGAUUUCUUAUUAUAAAUUCUCUUAAAAAUAACUCUAACACCAUUAGAAUUUAAAUAAACCUAAUAAAAGAAAAUAAAUAUUAUUUUACUCUUACUUCUAAAAAAAAAAAAAAAUUCUAAUGUUGUAACUAAAUAUAUAAUAACUAAAUAGUAUAUAAUUCUAAUAUAUUAACUAAAUAUAUUAGUAACUUCUAACACCUUUUACCAUUGGAUGUUGUGAACGGGCCAUUUUAAAUAAUAUUUCUUUGAUGUGAUAAUGAGUUUGAUAUUUUAGUAAAAUAUAGUCGGACUUAUUUUGGUUCUUUGAUUAUAAACUAACAUUUGGUGAUACUCCAAAUGCAAUAUUUGAGUGUAUUAUUUUUUGCUAUGAGUAUUUUAAAUUAUGGUUAGAUCUUAGAGGUCUUUUUCAUAAGUAUAAUUGAUUAUAAUAUUAUUGUAAGACAUUUGAUAAAACCUAAUACAUAAUACUUAAUGAUUUAAGAUGAGUUUAAGUUAAAUUAUAUUUAAGUUAUUAAAUUAAUAGAGCAAAUUAAUGUCUUCAAAUUAUUUUUAAUUUUAAGUUACAAUAUUUAUUAUGAUUAAUAAUUUAUGUGAUAAUUAGGUCUUUAAGAUAAUGUAUCUAAUAAAUUUCUUUUACUUAGAUAAUCUUAUGAGGAGCAAACCUUGGCAUUCACUCUCACCCUUUUACAAAGCUUUACUUUCUUGAUUUUCCAAGGGUGCUAUCGUUGAAACAUGACGGUUUUGGAGGCUAUGUUGUUGAAUGUCCCAAAACCAUAUUGGAUUAGUUUCACUAUCACUUAGAACCCUUGGGUUAGAGCCCAUUUGACCAUAUACUAUACUUAUUUUUAGAAAUUGUCUUGAAGUUAAAAAAAAAAUAUAGUUUUUAUUUUCUAAAAACAAUGGUGUUUAGCAACUUUGUUUUUAAAUACACUUUUAAAAAAAUAAAAAACAAAAAUUUGUUUGGAUUUUUUUUUUUAAUAUUCUGAUUUUAUAAAAAAAAAAAUCAUAGACUUAAUGUAUAUAAUAUUAAUUAAAUUUAAUUCAUGCCUUGGUAAAAAUAAAAAUAAUUUUGUACUUAGAAAUAAAUCAUAUACAUGUAUAGUUUUUAGUAAAAUAUGAGUAGUAAUAAUAUUAUAGUAAAAUUAUAAGUUAUAUUUUUUGGUAACAAAAUAUACUAUUUUAGUAUAUGUUAUAAAAUUAUGGACAUUAAUAUUUUCAUAAAAGCAUUUUUUUUUUCAAAAUAAAUAAUUUGUUUUUAUAUUAUUUGUUAAAUAUGGGUCACUAUUUGAAUUUCAAAUUAUUUUUAAAAGUUACUAAACUUAUUAAUAAAUUAAAUGGAAUAAGUCUUGGUUGAUUUGAAGUAUAUUUGUGUGAAAAAAAAUAGAAGGAAAUAUGAUUUUAUGAAGAAAAGAAAAAUGAGUUAUUAUGAAUUAAUUUUUGUCCAUAUAAUUCUUGUAUUAAUUGAAUCAUUAUUUGAGUUUUAAACUAUUUUUAAAAUUUUUGUACUCGUUGAUAAAUCCAAUACAUCAAGUUUUACUUGAUUUGAAGUUUAUUUGCCUACUAAACAGAUUUGAAAAAAUAUAAUUAUAUGUCAAAAAAAUAAAAAUAAAACUUAGGAAAGUUAUUCAAAAUUGGAUUAGCUUUUAGUUCCAAGAUUUUCUAAUAUUAUUGGUUUUUUAGUCUUGAAUUAUUUUUAAAAUUUUGAAAACACAAAAAUGUUUUAAAAUUACAUGGUCAAACAAACUAUUAGGCCCAAUUUGACUUUGUGAUUUAAAAAUAGAUAACUAUUUUUAAAAAUUCAUAGUAAUGUUUUGGUCAUUGUUUUUAUUUCCAAUUUUUAGAAACAAAAGAAAAUAGAGAAUAGUUUUAAAAAGAGAAGUAGAAGAUAUUUUUACUAGUUUUUAAAAACAAAGUAAAAACAUAAAGAUAUUUAAAGAAAAAAAUCAUAAAAAAAACAAAUAAAAUUAUAUAUAACAUCUUUCUUUCUCUCUAUGGAAAUUGAAAAUCUUCAAAUAUGAUAUUCCUUUGAAUUAUUUGUAUAAAAUUGUAUAUGAUACUUUUCCCAACCAUUCCACCCACUCUUUCUCUCUUGUUUAUACCCUUCACUGCCCCACAUCCUUCUCUUCCUCCCUUUUUCUCUCAUUCUUUUUGCUCACAUUUCUACUCUUCCUUUUUUUUUUCUUUUUUUCUUUUUUUUUUUUGUUUUCCAAAAAUCUAUCACUCCUCACCGCCACCGGCAGGACCACCAACCAAUCAUCGUCGAUGAGCCAUUGCCAGCAACCCCCUUCCCUUCUAUCACUUUCUCAUCUCACCCAUUUUCCCUUUUUAUUAUUCAUUUUAUUUUGUUUUCCUUUCUCUCUUUUUUUUUCUUCUUUCUUUCUUUCUCUCUUUAACUCCACUAUCGGCCACCCGCCGCCAUCUAACAAUUCCAGCAAGCCAUAGAUUCUUCAACAACAAAAAAAAAAUUGUGUAAGCCCAUUUAUGUAUUUCUUUAUUUUAUUUUUCUUAUUAUUGUCAUUUUUUUUUUUGUUUGUGAGAUUUGAAUUGUUGAAUCAAUAUGAAAUUUGGGCUUUGUUAAUUAAUAUAGAAUUUAGGUUGUGGAUAUAUUGCAUUUGUUGGUUAAUUUAAGAUAUUUGGAUUAGGCCAGUUGCAUAUUGUUUACCUUAUUUGGACUUGCGGCCCAUUGCUUAUUGGUUAUUUAUUUGGGCUUAUUGGAUUGGGCUUGAGACCUUAUUUCCUUUAGCCUUGUAUAUUAUUAAUGUGGGCUUGUUAAAUAAUAUGAAACUUGAGCUCAUUUGUUGUGGAUAAAAUUUGUUGGAUUGGAUGAUAAUUGAUAUGAGUUUUAUCCAUUUGAAAUAUUUAAUUUAGACAUGAGACAAUUAUGGUAUAUUUUGGAUAUUAUUUCGAGUUUACAUAUUAAAUUGGGCUCAAUUAUUUUGGAUUAUAGGAUAUUGAAUUUAGGUCUAAUGGAAUUUGUUUUAAUUAUCAAAUUUUUGGGUUUGGUUGAUUGUGCUUGUAUUUUGGUUAUUAAUUUGAAAAUUUUUUGCUAAGACCUAUAACAUAUGAGAUAUUUUUAUUGGGUUAUAUUUACUAAUUUGGGCUCAUUUUGAUUGAUGAAAUUUAUUGGACUAAUUUGAAGUCUAAAUUUGGGUUUGAAUAUUUGUUUGGAAUUUUGUACAUUUCUGGAUAUUUAUAUUUGAGCUAUUUUUGUUUUUGCAUAGACCCAUUCUUCAAUUUUAUUUUCCAUUUUUAUUUGAUUUAUUUUUAUUAGUUUUUGUAAAUGUUUGUUUGUAUAUACUUACUCAUUGUGUACAUAAUUGAAUAUCGAAAAAACAAAAAAAAAUUAUUUAAAUAAGAGGAACAAUUCAUUAAACAUGUUUUAAUAAAACAAUAGUUCAUAAAAUAUUUCUUUGAAUAAAAAUAAGUUUUCAAAAUGUUUUUAGGAAAAUUUAGAAAAUCGUUUUUAAUAAAAUAAAAAAAAUUGUUUUUAAUAAUAAUUGUCUCAAAAUUGUUUUGUAAAUAAAGUUAUCCCAAAAUUCAUUUUUAAUAAAAUUGUCCAAAAAUGUUUUUUUAAAUAAAUUAUAUUUCCUUAAUUAGAUAGGAUUAAAAGUAUUUUUUUAUAGAUAAGGGUCUUAAAUAAUUUUUUUAAUAAGAAUGAAAUUUGCAAAUCAAAGUUGUAGAAAUCAUUUUUUUUUAAUAAAAUUGGGUUGAAAAUAUUUUCAUAAACAAAGUUUGUAAAGAAAUUAAUUCCUUUUGUAAAUAAUGUUGUAAAAAAUCAUUCAUUUUUUUAAUAAAAGCAAAUAAAAAUAAUUUUUGUUGCCAAAUUGAAAUUUAUAAUAAAUUGUUCUGAAAAGAUAAAUGUAUACAACUUUCUUGAAAAGAAAAAUUGAAAACAAAUAAAGUUGAAUAAAAUCAUUUAUUGAAAAUGAAUAGAAACUUUUUUUGUAAAUAAUUAAAUUGAAAUCAUUAAUUCCAAAAUUGUUUUAAUAAAAUCCUUUAAAUCUUUUUUAAAAAAAAUCAUUUUUUUAAAUAUCCUUUUUUAAUCCAUUCAAUAAAUCAAUUUGUAUAAUUCUCUUAUCAUUUAUUUUGUAUAUUUUUUUAAUUAGAUUUCAUCAUUAUUUUUGUGUAUAUUGAUUUUCACUAUGACUUGUACAUACUCAUUUAUGUGAUUAUAUUUCUUGGUAUCCAUAAUUAAUUAAUUAAUUAAUUGUUACAAUUCUCUUUAUUCGUUUAGGAGAGACCGCAUGUAUAUAGGCUUAGAGGAGUGUUACAGCUCACCACCGUACCUUCCAAAUAGGUAACUUGACCCCCAAACCCAGACUCGGUUUUUCACAAACCUAUUUUUCCUUCAGGAGUCAUACUUAAGGUUUUUUUUUUUUUUCUUAUUUUGUUUUUCCCUUUAAAAAUAAAAUAAAAAUAAUUGACAACUCCAAGUCUUUUCUAAAAAUCAUAUUUUUCACCAACUGAAAAGCAAAUCUCAUCGUUGAGUGAGGAUGCACAUAAAAAAUGCAGGUCCACAGUGUUAUAUUCAUCAAGAAGUAUGAUAAUUUAAAAAAUAAAUUAAUUUGAAACUCAAAUGGUAACCAAUUAAUACAAAAUAUUUAUAGAUGAAAAUUCUUUCACAAAUACUCUAUUAUUUCUUUUUUUUUUUAACACAUAAUUAUAUUUUAAAAAAUUUUAUCAUUUGAUAAAUGAAUUUCAAAUCAAACAACACUUUGUAUUAAAUUUAUUAAUGAGUUUAAUAAUUUUUAAAAAUAAUUUAAAACUACAAAAAUUGAUAUAAUCACUAUAAAAAAUAAUAGACUAAAACUUAUGCAUAAUGAAUUAUGACUUUCCUUUUUCUCUUACAAACACAAUUAUAUUUUUUGAUUUUUUUUCGCCAGUUAAAAGCAUUCUAAAUUGAGAUAUAAUUAAUAAUGUAAAUUCUUUAAUGAAUUUUCUAAUUUUUAAAAAUAAUUAAGAAUUCAAAAGAUCGAUCUAAUUAAUUGCAUAUUAAAUCAAAGCACCAUAGAAAACUCCGUUCAAAAUUAAGUACAUAUGUGCAUGUAAUGAAAACUUUGCUCAUUCACAUGUUAAACAAGUUAAACUUUAUUUGUUUUGGAAUUUAUAUAUAUAUAUAUAUAUAUAUAUAUAUAUAUAUAUAUAUAUAUAUAUAUAUAUAUAUAUAUUAAUUUUGGGAUGAUAUUGCUAUUUAUAUUUUUACUAAAAACUAUUUAUUUGUAAUUAUAAAAUUAUUUUCAUUUUUAAUUACACAUCAAUUAAAUUCAAUUAAUAUAAUUAAUGUUAUGCAAAUUGAAUUUAUAAUAUUUUACAAAAAUCAAAAUAAAAAUUAUUUUUUAAAAAAAAAAAUUUGCCAAAUAUCCGUAUUUUUGUAAAAUACUUAAAAAAAUAAAAUAAAAUAAAAUCUAUUUUCUUUUUUUAAACUUAAAAACAGUUUUUUUUAAACCAAACAUUACAAAACAGGGUCACUCGGCGGGUCUUGAGGCCUCUAUCAACAUGUUUUGUUUAUUUUGUUGCCCAAUUUUUGUGUAAGCUCUAAAUAAUGCCACUUUCAAUCCUUUCCAAUUGCUCUGUUCCUGCACUUUUUUUAAAUGUUGCCAUGUAGACAACAGUAUAGUUCUUGAUCCCCCAAUCAAAGAAAACUCAAAAAUUAUACAUAAUUCUUUGCUCCACUACUAAUGCAUUACAUCAGUAUCUGUCAUUAAUCAACUCUACCACACAAAUUUUAUGCAGCAAUUGCCAUGAUUUUUGUACACUAAGUGUUGUGCCAGCGAAAGCUUUGAUGCCAACGAUGUUAGUUCAAGAACACAAAGAUAAAACAAUCACACAUACGGUACACGAGGUUUUAACGUGGUUCGGCCAACCAUGCCUACGUCCACGGAUGAGAGAGAAUAAUUCCACUAUACAAUAGAGAAUAUUACAGAGGAUAGAACCAGAUACAAUUAUUGGGUUCCCGAAACAUCCCAUGUUUCCCCACUCCUUGUAUCCAUACCUUAUUACGAGCCCUCUCGCUCCACCAGGUACCUCCCGUUCUUCCUCACAUCUCUAUCCACCUCGUAUAGUCUCUAUAGGCCCAUCUCCAUCUCAUAACUUUUUCCCCUCAUGACCUAGAAUAUUUAUAGAGAUAUUUCCAACAACCUUCCUUAUUCUAUAAGGAAGUCUAAUAUUACAAUAAUAUAUCCACCUAGAAAUAUUCUAUAUAAUAUUCUUUACAAAAAAAGGAAUCUAUACUAAUUAGGAAUUUGGGACACUUCCUAACAAUCUCCACCUUGGACCAAAUUACAUGAAGUUAAUCUUCAAUCUCUCCAUGACACAAACCUUUUUGUAUCAUAUCACCACGAAAUAGCAAUCAACUCCACCUUCAGUGAAAAUUCCUUUUGUUUUCAUCUUGUGUGCUUUGUGAUCUUUUACUCUUCCAGAAAUCUUCAACCCAAGCUCUGAUACCAAUUGUUGUGCCAGCGGAAGCUUUGAUGCUAACGAUGUUAGUUCAAGAACAUAAAGAUAAAACAAUCACACAUACGGUACACGAGGUUUUAACGUGGUUUGGCCAACCAUGCCUACGUCCACGGAGUUGCAGGGAUAUCACUAUUAUCAGGGAAGAAUACAGAGUACAACCUGGCGGCUACAAUAUUCUCUAUAUAUAUAUAGCACGGCAACCCUACCAUACUAAAAAACCCUAAUUACAAAAUGUGGUUCCACAAUGGGCUAAAUGGGCCCAACAGGCCUCAAUAAAUCUCCCAUUAAAAAAGCCAUGCAAUAUUAUUCGGGUCGGGUCAUCAAACCGGAUCAAACAAAACUAGGCUCCACAAAGCCCAACAAAUCUCCCACUUGGAGACUAGUCCAAUCACCAACAUCAAACCGCUAUCCUCCAAGAAACGAUCCCUUAUCCUUACAACUCAUCCUCCUGUCCUCAAGCUAGAAGACCAAUUGAAGCUGCGCACAGCUUCAACUUCUCAUANNNNNNNNNNNNNNNNNNNNNNNNNNNNNNNNNNNNNNNNNNNNNNNNNNNNNNNNNNNNNNNNNNNNNNNNNNNNNNNNNNNNNNNNNNNNNNNNNNNNCAUGACACAAANCUUUUGUAUCAUAUCNCACGAAAUAGCAAUCAACUCCACCUUCAGUGAAAAUUCCUUUGUUUUCAUCUUGUGUGCUUUGUGAUCUUUUACUCUUCCAGAAAUCUUCAACCCAAGCUCUGAUACCAAUUGUUGUGCCAGCGGAAGCUUUGAUGCUAACGAUGUUAGUUCAAGAACAUAAAGAUAAAACAAUCACACAUACGGUACACGAGGUUUUAACGUGGUUUGGCCAACCAUGCCUACGUCCACGGAGUUGCAGGGAUAUCACUAUUAUCAGGGAAGAAUACAGAGUACAACCUGGCGGCUACAAUAUUCUCUAUAUAUAUAUAGCACGGCAACCCUACCAUACUAAAAAACCCUAAUUACAAAAUGUGGUUCCACAAUGGGCUAAAUGGGCCCAACAGGCCUCAAUAAAUCUCCCAUUAAAAAAGCCAUGCAAUAUUAUUCGGGUCGGGUCAUCAAACCGGAUCAAACAAAACUAGGCUCCACAAAGCCCAACAAAUCUCCCACUUGGAGACUAGUCCAAUCACCAACAUCAAACCGCUAUCCUCCAAGAAACGAUCCCUUAUCCUUACAACUCAUCCUCCUGUCCUCAAGCUAGAAGACCAAUUGAAGCUGCGCACAGCUUCAACUUCUCAAUAGUGACACCCUUAGUCAACAUGUCUACAGGGUUCUUAGAUCCACAAAUCUUCUCAAGUAUUACCAGUUUAUCCUCAACAAGAUAACUGAUAAAGUGGUAUUUUGUUUGUAUAUGUUUCGACUUUGAAUGAAAAGCCGAAUUUUUGGCAAGAAAAAUUGCACUCUGACUGUCACUGUGUAGAAUGCCCAUCUCCUGCUUCUUACCCAAUUCAUCUAAGAAACCAUGUAGCCAAAUCAUCUCCUUUCCAGCUUCAAUUGCUGCAACAUACUCAGCUUCUGUAGUAGACAAAGUAACAAUCUUCUGUAGAUUUGAAGUCCAUGAUAUAGUUGUACCACCUAGAGUAAAAACAAACCCAGUAGUACUCUUUCUACUAUCAAUAUCACCAGCAAAAUCAGCAUCUACAUAACCCUGCAGUUUCNNNNNNNNNNNNNNNNNNNNNNNNNNNNNNNNNNNNNNNNNNNNNNNNNNNNNNNNNNNNNNNNNNNNNNNNNNNNNNNNNNNNNNNNNNNNNNNNNNNNCCCGUGAGAAACAAAAAAUAUUAGAGAAAAUACACGCCAAAGAAAAAACAAUCACACACAAGACAAUAUUUACGUGGUUCGGCAAUUUGCCUACGUCCACGGAGUUGCAGGGAUAUCACUAUUAUCAGGGAAGAAUACAGAGUACUACAUGGCGGCUACAAUAUUCUCUAUAUAUAUAUAGCACGACAACCCUACCAUACUAAAAAACCCUAAUUACAAAAGGUGGUUCCACAAUGGGCUAAACGAGCCCAACAGGCCUCAAUAAAUCUCCCAUUAAAAAAGCCAUGCAAUAUUAUUCGGGUCGGGUCGUCAAACCGGAUCAAACAAAACUAGGCUCCACAAAGCCCAACAAAUCUCCCACUUGGAGACUAGUCCAAUCACCAACAUCAAAUCGCUAUCCUCCAAGAAACAAUCCCUCAUCCCUACAACUCAUCCUCCUUUCCUCAAGCUAGAAGACCAAUUGAAGCUGCGCACAGCUUCAACUUCUCAAUAGUGACACCCUUAGUCAACAUGUCUGCAGGGUUCUUAGAUCCACAAAUCUUCUCAAGUAUUACCAGUUUAUCCUCAACAAGAUAACGGAUAAAGUGGUAUUUUGUUUGUAUAUGUUUCGACUUUGAAUGAAAAGCCGAGUUUUUGGCAAGAAAAAUUGCACUUUGACUGUCACUGUGUAGAAUGCCCAUCUCCUGCUUCUUACCCAAUUCAUCUAAGAAACCAUGUAGCCAAAUCAUCUCCUUUCCAGCUUCAGUUGCUGCAACAUACUCAGCUUCUGUAGUAGACAAAGUAACAAUCUUCUGUAGAUUUGAAGUCCAUGAUAUAGUUGUACCACCUAGAGUAAAAACAAACCCAGUAGUACUCUUUCUACUAUCAAUAUCACCAGCAAAAUCAGCAUCUACAUAACCCUGCAGUUUCAAACUUGCACCUGUGAAGCAAAGACAUGUAUCUAAUGAACCCUUCAGAUAUCUUAAAAUCCACUUGACUGCCUCCCAAUGCUGCUUUCCAGGCCUACUCAUGAAUCUGCUCACAACUCCCACUGCAUGUGCAAUGUCUGGCCUUGUACACACCAUAGCAUACAUCAAGCUGCCAAUAACUGAGGCAUAGGGCACCUUGCUCAUACACACCAAUGCUGCUUUAGUGACUGUUCUUUGCUUAGUUUGAAAUGACUACCCAAGGGUGUGCUCACUGGUUUAGCUUCAUUCAUGUUGAACCUGCUGAGAACUUUCUUCACAUACUCUGACUGUGAAAGCUUCAAUGUACCAUUAGCCUUGUCUCUAAUGAUUCUCAUACCAAGGAUUUGCUUUGCAGCUCCCAAAUCCUUCAUUGCAAACUGUUUGGACAAUUGCUUCUUCAGAUUAUUAAUCUUCUCAAUGUUAGACCCUGCAAUAAGCAUAUCAUCCACAUACAAUAGUAAUAUGAUAUAAGAAUUGUCAAAGGACUUAAAAUAGCAACAGUGAUCAGCUUCACAUUUCUUGAACCCAAUUCUAUGCAUAAAAUUGUCAAACUUCUUGUACCACUGUCUAGGAGCUUGUUUAAGGCCAUACAAGCUCUUUCUCAGUUUGCAGACUAGAUUCUCUUGUCCCUGAACAAUGAACCCUUUUGGUUAAAUCAUGUAAAGGUCUUCCUCCAAGUCACCAUGAAGGAAUGCUGUCUUCACAUCUAACUGCUCAAGAUGUAAGUUUUCUGCAGCCACCAUUCCAAGUACAAGUCUAAUUGUUGACAUCUUCACAACUGGAGAAAAUAUCUCUGUGUAGUCAAUGCCCUCCUUCUGCUGGAACCCUUUAACAACUAAUCUGGCCUUGUAACGUUUGCUACCAUCAUGCUCAUUCUUUAUUCUGUAUACCCACUUGUUGUGCAAAGCCUUCUUUCCUACUGGCAAUUCAGUCAGUUCCCACGUCUGAUUCCCCAAUAGGGAAUCCAUCUCAUCCUUCAUGGCUAACUCCCACUUGCUUGAAUUCUCAUCUUGCAAGGCUUCAUCAUAACACUCUGGCUCACCACCAUCAGUCAACAGGAGAUAAUUUAAAACAGGUGAAUAACGUUGCGGAGGUCUAAUGUUCCUGGAAGAUCUGCGAACUUCAGCUACAGGUGUACUCAAAUCUACCUGUGAAUUUACAUUCAUUCUCCUUAUCUUCUUCACCCCCUUUUUGGACAGUACUUUCAGUCAAUUCAUCUAAGUUGACAAACUCAGAUUUCUUUUGAUCUAUCUCUGUAACAUCUGACGUUACAGUUGACCUAUCCUUGUACAUAACCUGUUCAUUAAAUAUCACAUUUCUACUUCUGAUGAUUUUCCUGUUUUGUUCAUCCCAAAACCUAUAGCCAAAUUUCUCAUUGCCAUAGCCAAUGAAAAAACAUAUUUUUGACUUUGCAUCAAGUUUACUACGAGCAUCAGAAUCAAUAUGAACAUAAGAAACACAACCAAAAACUUUUAAAUGUGAAAACUUCACCUCUUUACCGCUCCAAACCUCCUCAGGAAGUCUGAACUCCAUGGGAACUGAUGGUCCUCGGUUUAUCAGGUAAGCUGCAGUGCUAACAGCAUCAGCCCAAAAAGUUUUUGGUAGUCCAGCAUGCAACCUCAUACUUCUAGCACGCUCAUUGAGAGUUCUAUUCAUGCGCUCAGCCACACCAUUUUGCUGUGGUGUCCCAGGAAUGGUCUUCUCCANNNNNNNNNNNNNNNNNNNNNNNNNNNNNNNNNNNNNNNNNNNNNNNNNNNNNNNNNNNNNNNNNNNNNNNNNNNNNNNNNNNNNNNNNNNNNNNNNNNNGGACCAAAUUACAUGAAGUUAAUCUUCAAUCUCUCCAUGACACAAACUUUUUGUAUCAUAUCACCACGAAAGAGCAAUCGACUCCACAUUCAGUGAAAAUUCCUUUUGUUUUCAUCUUGUGUGCUUUGUGAUCUUUUACUCUUCCAGAAAUCUUCAACCCAAGCUCUGAUACCAAUUGUUGUGCCAGCGGAAGCUUUGAUGCCAACGAUGUUAGUUCAAGAACACAAAGAUAAAACAAUCACACAUACGGUACACGAGGUUUUAACGUGGUUCGGCCAACCAUGCCUACGUCCACGGAUGAGAGAGAAUAAUUCCACUAUACAAUAGAGAAUAUUACAGAGGAUAGAACCAGAUACAAUUAUUGGGUUCCCGAAACAUCCCAUGUUUCCCCACUCCUUGUAUCCAUACCUUAUUACGAGCCCUCUCGCUCCACCAGGUACCUCCCGUUCUUUCUCACAUCUCUAUCCACCUCGUAUAGUCUCUAUAGGCCCAUCUCCAUCUCAUAACUUUUUCCCCUCAUGACCUAGAAUAUUUAUAGAGAUAUUUCCAACAACCUUCCUUAUUCUAUAAGGAAGUCUAAUAUUACAAUAAUAUAUCCACCUAGAAAUAUUCUAUAUAAUAUUCUUUACAAAAAAAGGAAUCUAUACUAAUUAGGAAUUUGGGACACUUCCUAACACUAAAAUCACAUACCAACCUCUGCACAUGCAUACACAACAUGAAUGCAUUUGCUUUUAUUGAGAGAAUAGUUUCACACAUUUGAAUGUGGCAACAUUGGGAAGCAUCUUCAUUGUUUCAUCGCUUCAAUAAAGGUUUUGAAAUUCUUGUAAGAAGAUCCGCCUUCGCUUACACUCUUUCUAGCCAUUUCCUUCAACUUCUUUGCAUUUGCUUUUAUACCAUCAUCAGAGACCAACUUUUCAAUCUUCAUCUUAAUCCCAUGCCUUGAUAUGAAUCCCUUUUCAUCUGGGUUCAACCCCAAGCCCACCUUCCAUUUUUUGCAUAUGUAACUCUGGUUAUGGAAUUGAUCUGCGAAGUAGGGCCAACAUAGGAAGGGAACUCCCAUGCUUAUGCUGUCCAUGGUUGAGUUCCAACCACAAUGGGAAAAGAAACAUGCAACAGAAGGGUGAGCUAAAACCUCUUCUUGGGGUGCCCAUGAUACAAUCUUUCCAUGGUCAGCUACUCUCUCAAUGAAACCAUCAGGGUAUUCAGCAACUGAUCCAUCGGUGAAGUCUGAUCGGACAACCCAUAAAAAUGGCCGGCCUACAAGUUCGAGACCAAGUGCUAGUUCAUUGAAUUGGCGCUGGUUGAAGAUUGCUAAGCUGCCAAAGGCAACAUAAAUGACUGAGCCAGCAGGUUGUUUAUCGAGCCAGCCUAUGCAGGUCGAAUCCUCAGGCCAAAAGUUUCCAGCAUAAUGACCCAGAUGAUGACUUGCAAGUAAUGGACCUAUUGAUAAUAUGUUAGGAAUCAACUCACAGGCAGAUGAGUCAAGUUCAUAAACAAAGUUGCUGAGAAGCCACUUGGAAAAAUCCAUUUUUUGAAUAAUUAUGAGAAGAGUUCGGAAAAUGGUCUCUUGUAUCUUUGGAUCAAUUGGGCAGCACCAGGGCAAUCUGUUGCUGCUAAAGACUGGGAUAUCCUUUGACAGGCAGAUCAACUCGUCAUUCAGAGGAGAUCCUGCAGAGAUAUUUGAAUUAUUUCCAUCAAAACAAAGAAAUUUCUCAAUACUUCCCUGGUAUCAACAACAAAUUAAUUUUAGAAAAAGUUGAAGCCUUAAUACCGUUAGUGCUAUGUAUGAUUCUGUUAGCAAGUAAAAUCUUUUUACAGUUUAUACUUUAAGUAAACAUUAAAUAAGUAUGUAAAUAAAAUAAAUGAAAUUACAGAACUUACUUUAAUUCUAUGAAUCCGAGCCCAAUGACAACACUGUUUCCUUAAGACAAUUUUAUUCCCUCUCUGGUGCUCAAGGUAGUGAAUAAAUGUCUCCCAAGAUAGAACGGAUAUUCAGUUCUACAAAAGCAGCACUUCAAUCUGUAGAACACCACGAACACAACUUGUGUUUUGUACUCGAACUGACAAAGGAUGCAAAGAAGAGAGAGAGAAAUAUGCAGGAAUUAAUUGAAUCAUUUAAUGCCGGGGUAGAAAAUCUAUUUAUAGACUUCUUGGUGUCUAUUUAGAAUAGGUAUAAACCUAUUCGGAAUAGACACGUACCUGUUUGGAAUAGUCAUUCAAGUGGGUGACUUUGGAGUCAAUUUUCUCAUUCAAUACUUAAUGGAUUUGAACAAAUAAAUAUACCACGUUAUACUCCUCGCGGAAGAGAACGCGUUGGUGUGUGGUCCCGACAUUUUCAGAGUGUGGGUCACACUUUUAAUUAAGCCCCAAGUUGCUCAAUUAUUAUUUUUUUCAAACUCAUUUCCAACAAUCCCCCACAUGAAUGUAAAAUUGGCUUUACAACAUGCAAAAUGAAUACGCAGACACUAGUUCGAGUACAAAUGAAAAGUUACUGCUUCAGACUAAGUGACCAUUGGUCUUGAACUUGCCCUAGUGAAGACUAUCGGAUUUACUUGGCCAGUCAAUAGACGUUGUCUUUGAAUUGCCAGUCGUUGGUGUAAACCAAGACAAUAGAAUCACACAGUACCAUUUCUAACACAGUUGGUUCUCACGUUUGUGUUCAUUUUGGCCUUGAACACCUCUUGGUUCCGUGAGUAUGUUAGAGAAUUUAGCCUUUCAUAAUUCUCAUAGAAGUGGCCCCCUUCUUACUCACGUAGGUGAUUUCUAUUAAGAAUAUCCUGCAAUAUCCCACUUAUGACACAAUUUCAUAAGCUAUAGAAAUCAUUAAAAUCGUAUCUUAUCCUGAUUCUCGCGGCAGAUAUGCACUGUCUCAUCAUAGGAAUGGUUUGGAGUAAGUAUCUCCACAGUGCGUUCUGAGUUCUACAUAGUUCGGUUUGCCCUUUGAACCUAGAUCUUGGGAUCUCCUGUCAGCUAGGUUGGGUUGCCACUAUGAUGACCCUUGGUUUAUUUCAUAGGCUUUAGACCCAUUCCCUUUGAUGAACUUUCUACUUGCUCUCUAGUUAAACCUUUUGUAAGCGGAUCUGCAAUAUUAUCUUUUGACCUUACGUAGUCAAUUGAGAUAAUUCCAUUUGAGAGCAAUUGCCUAACGGUAUUAUGUCGACGUCGUAUGUGACGUGACUUACCGUUAUAGUUAUGACUCUGUGCUCUUCCAAUUGCUGAUUGGCUAUCACAAUGGAUGCAAAUAGCAGGCACAAGUUUUGACCAAUUUGGAAUAUCCUCUAAGAAAUUUCGUAGCCAUUCGGCUUCUUCUCCAGCUUUAUCUAUUGCAAUGAAUUCUGAUUCCAUUGUAGAUCGAGCUAUACAAGUUUGUUUUGAGGAUUUCCAAGACACGGUUGCACCUCCAAGUGUAAACACAUAUCCACUUGUGGAUUUUGAGUCUUUUGAGUCAGAUAUCCAAUUAGCAUCGCUGUAUCCUUCAAGUACAGCUGGAUAUCUUGUGAAAUGCAGUCCAUAAUUUUGAGUAUAUUUAAGGUAUCCCAAAACUCGUAUUAUUGAUUUCCAAUGAUUUUCUCCGGGAUUACUCGUAAAUCGACUUAGCUUACUAACGGAGUAUGCUAUAUCAGGUCGAGUGCAGUUCAUCACAUACAUUAGACUGCCAAUUAUACGAGAAUAUUCUAAUUGAGAUUUUCCUAUGCCAGUAUUCUUAAAAAGAUGAAGAUUUACAUCCAUAGGUGUCUUCUUUGGUCUUAUAUCGUACUUCUUGAAUUUCUCAAGUAUUUUCUCAAUGUAAUGAGAUUGAGAAAGUAUAAGACCAUCAGAAGUUUUUGAGACCUUAAUUCCCAAAAUUAUAUCUGCCACACCUAGAUCUUUCAUAUCAAAUCUACUGGAUAGCAUUUGUUUAGUCAUUUUUAUCAUAUUAGUAUCACUACCAAUAAUUAACAUGUCAUCAACAUAUAGACAUACAAUGACAUAUCCUUUUUGAGUGUUUUUGACAUAAACGCAUUUAUCACAUUCAUUAAUUUUGAAUCCAUUUGAUAUCAUUGCAUUGUCAAAUUUCUCAUGCCAUUGUUUAGGUGCUUGCUUUAAUCCAUAUAAGGAUUUAACAAGCUUACACACUUUCCUCUCUUGUCCAAGAGCUAUAAACCCUUCAGGUUGAUCCAUAUAUAUUUCUUCAUCUAAUUCACCGUUCAAAAAUUCCGUUUUAACAUCCAUUUGAUGUAUUUCAAGAUUGUUUAUUGCUGCUAUAGCAAUUAACAUACGGAUAGAAGUUAUUCGGCUAACUGGUGAAUAAGUGUCAAAAUAAUCCAAUCCUUCCCUUUGCUUGUACCCUUUGGCAACAAGUCUUGCUUUGUAUUUAUCAAUUGAACCAUCUGCCUUCAUUUUCUUUUUGAAAAUCCACUUACAUCCCAAUGUUUUGGUACCUGGUGGAAGAGCCACUAGUUCCCAAGUAUGGUUUUGCAGAAUAGAUUCAAUUUCACUAUUAAUUGCUUCUUUCCAAUAUGAAGCUUCAGGGGAGGACAUAGCUUCUUUGAACGUUUGAGGAUCAUUUUCUAACAAAUAUGUUAGAAAAUCUGGGCCAAACGAAGUUGACUUUCUUGCCCUUUUUCCAUGUCUAGGUUCUUCGUCAACUUGUUUUUCUUUUGAUUCUUGAUUUACUUCUAAUUGAUUAUUACCAAAAGUAAUAUCAUGAGUCCUCUUUUGUGUACUUGUUUCAGAUGACUUGUUAUAUGGAAAAAUAGUUUCAAAGAAUGUAGCAUUCCUUGAUUGUAUAAUUGUAUUAACAUGCACAUCAGGAAUCUCGGACUUAUAAACAAGAAAACGAUAUGCACUACUAUUAUUAGCAUAACCAAUGAAUAUACAAUCAAUGGUUUUAGGUCCUAUUUUAACCUUUUUAGGUUUAAGAACCCCCACCUUUGCCAAACACCCCCACACUUUUAGAUAUUUAUAGCAAGGCUUGUGACCUUUCCAUAAAUCAUAAGGUGUUUUAAGUGUUUUCUUAUGAGGCAUUUUGUUAAGAAUAUAAUUGGCGGAAAGCAAAGCUUCCCCCCACAAAUUCUGGGGUAAACCAGAACUUAACAACAUAGCAUUCAUCAUUUCUUUCAAUGUUCUAUUUUUGCGUUCAGCAAUCCCAUUAGAUUGAGGAGAAUAUGGAGCGGUAGUUUGGUGAAUGAUUCCAUGUUCUAAACAGAACUCCUCGAAAGGGGAUUCAUAUUCACCACCUCUAUCGCUUCUUAUUGCCUUAAUCUUUUUGCUAAGUUGAUUCUCAACUUCAUUUUUAUAAUGUUUAAACAUUUCAAUUGCCUCAUCUUUGCUUUUAAGCAAAUAUACAUAACAAUAUCUAGUGCAAUCAUCGAUAAAAGUAAUAAAAUACUUUUUCCCACCUCUCGUUUGCACAAACUUUAAAUCACAAAUAUCACUGUGAAUUAAGUCUAGAGGUUCAGUACUUCUUUCAACUGAAUGAAAAGGUACUUUUGUUAAUUUAGAUUCUACACAAGUUUCACAUUUAUGAUUAGGAUCAAUAUUAAAUUUAGGUAGAUAAUCUAAGUGAAUUAAUCUACGUAGAGUAUCAUAAUUAACAUGUCCUAAUCUACCAUGCCAAAUAUUAGAAGACUCAAGCAAGUAAGCAGAAGAAUCAAUCUUAUUAUUAUUAAUAGACUUAGGUACAACAGUCAUUACAUUCAUCUUAAAGAGCCCAUCACUAAGAUAGCCCUUUCCUACAAACAUCUCAUUCUUUGUAAGUACAAACUUAUCAGACACAAACACUAAUUUGAAACUAUUUUUGCUAAGCAAAGAUCCAGAAACCAAGUUCUUGCGAAUGUCUGGCAUAUGAAGCACAUCAUUUAAAGUGAGUUCUUUGCCAGAAGUCAUUUUCAAAAUCACCUUCCCACGGCCUUCAACUUUGGAACUAGAAGAGUUACCCAUGAAUAAUUCUUCAUUUUGCUCUACGAGUUUGUAAGUUGAAAACAUCCACUUGUUGGAACAUAUGUGACGAGUAGCCCCAGUGUCCACCCACCAUUCCUUGGUGUUUCCUACAAUAUUGCAUUCGGAUACAACAGCGGAAAGAUUCAUCUCGAAGACAUCAUUUGAAAGUUUAUCAAAUUCUGUCACAUUUGCUUGGGGUUUCUUUUCCUUCUUUGGCUUACGGCAAUCAUUAGACUUGUGACCAGUUUUGCCACAAUUAUAACAUUUGCCUUUGAAUUUCUUCGCCGCAUUUGAUCCUUGAUUCUGAUUUUGAUCACCAUGCUUUCGUUUCUUGUUAGUUUUUGGUCCUUGUUCAAUAACAUUGGCUUUAGCCUCCAUUGAAUUAUUUCUCUUCUUUUCAGAUUUUCGGUUGUCCUCCUCAAUCCUUAACCUCACAAUUAAUUCUUCAAGAUUCAUCUCUUUGCGUUUGUGCUUGAGAUAAUUCUUGAAGUCCUUCCAUAGUGGUGGUAAUUUUUCAAUCACAGCAGCCACUUGAAAUGAGUCACUAAGACUCAUUCCUUUAGAAUGGAUUUCAUGAAGAAUUACUUGCAGUUCUUGAACUUGACUUAUAACUAUUUUGGAAUCGAUCAUUUUGAAAUCAAGAAAUUUGCCGACUAUGAAUUUCUUCAUGCCAGCAUCCUCGGUUUUGUAUUUCUUGUCAAGUGAAUCCCAUAGUUCCUUUGCUGUCUUGAGUGAACAAUACACAUUGUAAAGUGUAUUGUCUAAGCCAUUAAGCACAUAAUUUCUGCAUAAGAAAUCAGAAUGCUUCCAUGCAUCCACGGCAGCAACCUUUUCCUUGUUGGUUUCUCCUUCUUCAAGUAUGGGACAUUCUUCAUGAAGGAACCUUGCCAAGUUCAAUGUGGUGAGGUAGAAGAGCAUCUUUUGUUGCCAACGUUUGAACUCAUUCCCAUUGAAUUUCUCUGGUUUUUCUCCAUGAGUCAAAUUCAUUGUAGGAACAUUGCUUGAAGAUGCCAUUUGAUUUCUGUUACAAAAACAGAAAUGCAGAAAAUUCAGAAUACAAAAUUCUGAUUUAAAAAAAAAAUAAUAGAUGAAUAGAAUAUUUAAGUUUCCAAAUGCAGAAACACAAUCUGAUUUGAAACUUAAGAAUAUAAUAUUUACUGAAGUAUAAACUACAAAAAGUUUUUUUUUUAUUUAAUAAAGUUGUCUUAAGAUUGUUAGCAAGUAAAAUCUUUUUACAGUUUAUACUUUAAGUAAACAUUAAAUAAGUAUGUAAAUAAAAUAAAUGAAAUUACAGAACUUACUUUAAUUCUAUGAAUCCGAGCCCAGUGACAACACUGUUUCCUUAAGACAAUUUUAUUCCCUCUCUGGUGCUCAAGGUAGUGAAUAAAUGUCUCCCAAGAUAGAACAGAUAUUCAGUUCUACAAAAGCAGCACUUCAAUCUGUAGAACACCACGAACACAACUUGUGUUUUGUACUCGAACUGACAAAGGAUGCAAAGAAGAGAGAGAGAAAUAUGCAGGAAUUAAUUGAAUCAUUUAAUGCCGGGGUAGAAAAUCUAUUUAUAGACUUCUUGGUGUCUAUUUAGAAUAGGUAUAAACCUAUUCGGAAUAGACACGUACCUGUUUGGAAUAGUCAUUCAAGUGGGUGACUUUGGAGUCAAUUUUCUCAUUCAAUACUUAAUGGAUUUGAACAAAUAAAUAUACCACGUUAUACUCCUCGCGGAGGAGAACGCGUUGGUGCGUGGUCCCGACAUUUUCAGAGUGUGGGUCACACUUUUAAUUAAGCCCCAAGUUGCUCAAUUAUUAUUUUUUCAAACUCAUUUCCAACAGAUUCUUGCCUCAAUUAGCUUGGGAAUGUGAAGUGCCAAAGCCAAGAUUUCUGGUCCAGAAGGAAAAAAGGGGACCCCCAGGAUUCCCAUCUUCUCUGCCACCUCCAUUGCCCACCACCCAAGUGUUAUGUCAGCAACAACACAAAUGAUUUGCUCAUCAUCAUUCGAGCGGUUAACUUUCUCAAUCAAAUCCUUCAAAUGGCUCGGCAUGACUCUUGAAAUGCUUUCUGUUAACUUGGGUAGAUCUUUCCGAUCGUCCCCUGGAUCCAGACCAUCUGGGAUAGAGGCUAGCCCUAUCCCACUCCGAGCCUCAGCCUCAUGUGGGAGUGCAGCCAGCAGUUUUGCAUGUAUGAAGUCAGAGUUAACAAAGGUGACCUUGAUCCCAUGAUCAGAAAUCCGGUGUGCAAGCUUCAUAAGAGGAGCAACAUGUCCUUGCGCUGGGAGAGGUAUAAUCAGCACAUGAGGUCGCCUGCCCAUGGUCCUUGCUAACUUGCCAACACUUCCACCCUUCUCUUUGUUCUGAUCCCAAGCUUCACUAGUAUGCCUAAAAAUACUAGUGAUGAUGAUGAUGCUAUUUAUGAGAGUCAGAGCGAGAGGAAAACCAUGCCUAAAAAUAAGGCGGCUAUUAUGUUCCAUGUUUCCAUCCGUGUGAUUCAUGCCCAAUUGGUGUCUCAGCUGAUUCGUGUUCAGCUGGUGCUCCUUGGAUGAGGGAGUGAUCAACAAAAUUUAUACCUAUAACACCAUACACUAGGGUAGCAAAUAAAAAGGUACUAUAGUAUAGUGGCUCUAGGAUCGUUCACUGGGAAUGAUUAACAAGCAAUCAAUGAUACCAAUUCCAAGUGAAUUGGUCUUGUUUCAUUUCAAGGUUAGCUUAAGAAAUAAAACACAAACUUUGAUUGGUAAAGGUUUAGACUUAAACUAACUAACUUAACAGAAGUUUGGAAUAAUUUAGGAAAAAAAGCAUUCCUUGGAGAUUUAGGUUCACUGGGGUGGUUCCUCAUGCAAAAGACACGGCUCUGGUCAGAUGGUUUAUUUCCUCGCGUUAGAGAUUCAACAUAUAGUCAAUUCUCUAACCGGUGAUGUAUAGAGACUCCUUCAAUUAGAUUUCACUUUAAUUCUCUCACUGAUAUAACUUGCAAUGGUUUCAGCCUCUCACCAAGCCUCAACCAUUCAAGGUGAUCUUUAACCUUGGACUUCCCUUCACAAACUCGCAAGAGAUAACUAAUGGAUGUCUCCUAGGAGUCCAAAAGCUUACCAAGUGUUGGUAAUUCCAGAAAAUCCUACCUUGAAGUCACCUCCCAGAGGCUCGCAAGAGGUAAACUAGUGCAAUUCCAUGGUUGGAAAUCACUUGCCUUACCAAGUGUUGGCCCAGGUGACUCUAAGGUGUUUUAAGUUAAUUAAAAACAUUGAAAUCACUAAAGGAUUUCACUUCCUCUUCAUUACUAGCUAAAACCACAAAGUUUUGCAUUCUUGCACUUGGAACCUCCCCCGGCAACCUUAGCUCCAAGGAAUUAGAGGUUUAGUUACUCAUUCUCUGGGGAAAACUCCUCAGAGAAUUCAUAACUUAGAAAUAAAAUGAAAAUACAAAGUGAGAAGGUAAGGCAGUAGAAAGAAAAGAACUUUACUUGCUUCCCAACUCUUACAGAAGGAACUCCUCCUCUGGAACAGGUUCCCGAGAGGUAUAAAUAUCAACAUAAUAUAUAACUAAUUAUUACAAAGAUAUUUAGUCUUUUUUACUAACUUAAAAGCUAAGGAAUCUUGUAAUUGGAGGUUUACAAAGAGUAUUUUGGGAUUUAGACAACAAAAAUCUAAUAGAAAAUAUCUCCCAAUGUCGGUAGCAAAUAUCGGGAGGCUUCAGGAACCAUCUCGCAGGAGAAAAAUGGUGUCUGCGAAAUUUCGCAGACACCCAAGAGGGCUGCGAAAUAUUUUCGCAACACCAAGCUAUCUUCACCAGGCUGCAAAGUUGGCUUCCAUCUUGAGGUUCCUAGCUUCCCUCUCGCAGCAUAAAUCAGGCAUCGUCAUAAGGAGAAACACUCUACUGUACAAAAAUGCUGCGAAAUCACUUCGCAACAAAAGGGUGAUUUCGCAACACUUUGCAAAAUGUUCCCUUCAGCUCGGAGUGAUUGGCUUGUAAUGGCUGCAACUUCUUCGUUUCAACUCCGAAUUGCACACUGUUUGAAGCAUUGGAUUUUUGACUUCCUGAGCUUUGAAAUGGUAUAUAGCAUACAUCAUUUGGACUUCAGGAAGUGCCCCAAAAGUGGCUGCUACAACUGUCAUCAAGAAUAUGCUCCAUGACUGAUCCUCUUUGCUUUUUCUCCUUGCAAUCCGGAUUCACUCUUGGCAAAUGACUUCUAAGCUUUGCCCAAGAUUCCUCAUAGCUCUCCUCAUAUUUGACUUGCUUUGGUGAUCAAAAUACUAACAAAAACACCAAAACUUGCACAAAGUGAUUAAAAUUGCUUUAAAGGAUCCUUAACAUGCCAAUUGGGUUAAAAGGCCUAAACUACUACUCAAAAGUGUUUAAAAGGAUUAAUUAUAGACUAUCAAAUAGCACUUUUUGAGUAGUAAUCACCGUGGAGAGGGAUUUAAUAGGAUGCAGCUGUAUUUCAGCCGCCACUCUUCAGGGUAUAAAUUCAUCAACAACCCAAAACCUAACUUUCCCUAUAAAUUUUAAAGCAAUUCAACGAACACCACUGUAAAGUGUGAUUAAAGGGUCAAAGCUUGGCCCCAAUUGAUAUUCAUCACGUAAAUAUAUAGUACAUCAAGCAAACCUAAUUAAGGGAAAACCGUGAGUUUAGGAAACAAUCCUAAACAAUAGCAACUACUUUCCUAGAAUAUAUCAUAAUAUCUCAAUGCCGUGAGUUUAGGAAACAAUCCUAAACAAUAGCAACUACUUUCCUAGAAUAUAUCAUAAUAUCUCAACACCCUCCCUCAAGUUGGAGCAUGAGGUUCAAAAAUGCCCAACUUGGCAAGAAGAUAAUCAAAUUGUUUCUUUCCAAGAGCCUUUGUAAAAAUAUCCGCCAAUUGUGUAACAGUAGGAACAUAUGACGGAGCAAUCAAACCAUCUGUUAUCGCAUCCCGAACAAAGUGACAAUCAACCUCAAUGUGUUUGGUGCGUUCAUGAAAUACUGGAUUUUUGGCCAUAUGAAGGGCUGACUGACUAUCACAAAAGAGCUUGAUUGCCUUUGGGUGGUGCACACCCAAGCUCAGAAGCAACCCCUUCAACCAUUUGAGCUCACAAGUAACUGCUGCCAUAGCUCGGUAUUCCGCUUCUGCAGACGAGUGGGAAACUGUGUGUUGCUUCUUUGUCUUCCAAGAAAUAGGAGAUUGCCCAAGAAACACAAGCCAUCCGGACAAAGAGCGUCUAGUGACUAGACAUGCUGCCCAAUCAGAAUCACACCAACCCUGCAGGGACAGAUCACUAUCUGCACGUAACAAGAUACCCUGACCCGGAGUACCUUUCAAAUAACGAACGACUCUCAAAGCCGCCUCCCAAUGCUCAAUUCUAGGCUCCUGCAUAAAUUGAGAUAAUAUAUGAACCGAGUAGGCCAAAUCUGGACGGGUCACUGCCAGAUAAAUGAGUCGACCUACUAAUCUGCGAUAGGACUCAGGGUUCGACAAGAGCUCCCCAUUUGCGAGUCUUAAUCUGUGAUUUUGCUCGAUCGGGAAGCCACACGGCUUGGCUCCCAGUAAUCCGGCCUCCGAUACAAUGUCAAGUGUGUACUUGCGUUGACACAAGAACAAACCAGCCGAACUCCUGGCCACCUCGAUUCCGAGGAAAUACUUCAAAACACCAAGAUCUUUCAUCUUAAAACAAUCACUGAGAUAGGCUUUAAAGGUCUUAAGUGCAGCGGAAUCAUUCCCAGAGAUAAUAAGAUCGUCGACAUACACUAGCACAUUUAUUUGAACAUUGCCCUUAGUGUAAGUAAAAAGAGAAUAAUCAGAGUAGGAUUGUAAGAAACCAUAUCCUUUAAGAGUCGUGACCAACUUGGCAAACCAACAUCUCGGAGCCUGUUUCAACCCAUAAAGUGAUUUCCGUAACCUGCAAACCAAGUUCGGAUCGGAACGCUCAAAUCCUGGGGGUAGCUUCAUAUACACUUCCUCCUCAAGAUCUCCAUGCAAAAAGGCAUUGUGAACAUCCAUCUGAUGAAGUUCCCAAUUUUUCGAAGCCGCAAUAGCCAAGAAAGCACGCACCGUAGUCAUUUUGGCAACUGGAGAAAAUGUCUCAUGAUAAUCAAUACCGGCUUCUUGAUGAUUCCCCAAAACUACUAAUCUGGAUUUGAGCCUUUCAAUAUCACCAUUUGAGAAGUACUUGGUUUUGUAAACCCACUGACUUCCCAAAGCACGCUUACCCUUUGGAAGAGGUUCAAGAGUCCACGUACCAUUUUCCUCCAAAGCCCGAAUCUCCUUAUGCAUUGACUUUUGCCAACCGACAUCUUUCAUAGCCUCUUUAAAUGACUUAGGAUCAUUGCUCGAAAUAAUAGCUGCAAGAAACUUUCGAUAAUGUACAAAAAAAUUGUCACAAUUUAUAUAAUGUGCUAUGGGAUAAGGAGUACCUGAGGGAUGCUGUGGAGACGGAGUGGCGGGAAAUGGACUUUCAGCAACCACCGUAUGAGUAACAAAAUCUCGUAAUAGAACUGAAGGAAAUUUAUCCCUCAUUCCCUUUCCCAUAGGAGCAGACUGCCCAUUGCUUGUAUUGUCAAGCCCAAGUGAAUCAAGCCCAACAGUGGGAACAGCUUCCGGCCCAGGUGAAAGAGGCGCUGAAGAAGCCUCGGUGUGGGCCGGCCCACCCUCCCUCAAGCCCAGAUCUAGAUCAGCAUCAAAAUGGGGCACCUGAUCUUGGUGGGCUUGGGGUUCAUGUUGGAUGAGGUUGGGAUUUUGUGUUUGGGCUUGUGGGUUAGGCAAAUCAGCAUCAUCAUCGACAAAAUCAGCAAAAUCACUAUCAAUUUCAACAUUUACCGUAGGCACAAUGUUUUCCGGAACAAUAUUCACAGCACCCGGGUUACCAAACGGAAAAACAUCCUAAAAAAACUUGACAUCACGAGAAACAAAUAAUUCCUUGGUGUCCAAAUCAAACAACUUCCACCCCUUCUUUCCAAACGGGUAACCCAAAAACACACAUUUUCUACUUCUACUUGCAAAUUUGUCACCUUUGGAUUUUUUAUCAUGAGCAAAACUAAGACAACCAAAGGUGUGAAUUGCCGCAUAUGAAGGAGGGGUGCCAAAUAGGAUUUCAAAUGGUGUUUUAUUGUGUAACAAAGGAGAGGGAGUGCGGUUUAUUAAAUGAGCAGCGGCAAGAACACUUUCGCCCCAAAAAUAAAUAGGCAAAUUUGCUUGAAAGCAUAAUGCCCUCCCCACAUUUAAAAUAUGCUUGUGUUUUCUCUCAACCCUCCCAUUUUGUUGCGGAGUUCCCACACAAGAAGUUUGGAAUAAAAUGCCAGUUGCAAAAAAAUAGUCAAGUAGGCAUUUAAAUUCCGUACCAUUAUCACUUUGAACAACUUUCACUGUUUGAGAAAAUUGUCAAUCUACCAUUGCAAUAAAGGACAGAAACAUCCGAAAAACUUCUGUUUUAUCGACCAACAAAUAAAUCCACACAGCUCUUGAGAAAUCAUCAACAAUAGUUAAAAAAUAACGAGCUCCACAAGAAGAGACAUGUUUAUAAGAGCCCCACAAAUCACAAUGUAUUUUCUCAAAAAUUCUAGUUGCCUUAUUGUCACUUAAAGGAAAUUUGUCUCUAGGAUGCUUAGCACGAAAACAUAUUUCACAAGCUUUGUUUAAACUACCCUUAAGAUUGCUAACUGGAGGAAGUAACUUCACUACUUUCUCUGAAGGAUGUCCCAUCCUUUUGUGCCACAACUCCAAAGUGGAUACUGCGUUGUGGACAGAAACAUGUUGUACCGAAUCACCUUCAGCUCCACCGAAGUAGUAAAGUCCAUCUCGCCUAACUCCCGUUCCAAUCAGCUCCCUGGUGUGGUCCUGUAUAGCACACAUAUAAGAGUUAAAUUGGACAAUACAAUGUAAGUCAUCAGUCAAUUGUGAAACCGAAAGUAAAUUGCAAUUGAGUUUCGGCACAUAAAGAACGUUUUUAAGAGUGAUGGUAUUCGACAAACGAACGGAACCGGAUUGGGUCGCAACAACAGAUUCACCAUUAGGAAGGCCAACCGGACACUCAAACAACGCUAUAGUAUCAAAUAACCAAGAUAAAUCACCGGUCACGUGAUGAGUUGCCCCGGUGUCAAUGAUCCAUGACUUCGUGUCAAACUUACCAUUCAACCUGUUAUCCGGAACUUGAGCAUUACCAAUUAAGCCCGCAAGAGCUUUCCAUUGUUCGGGUGUGAAGAGUUGAUCGGUAGAACUUUUAGUAGAGGAUGCUCCAACUGUGCUACUUGCCGCGUUAGCACGAGCUGAACCACGCCCACGACCAGCCUGCUGACGACUACGUCCAGCACCCCCAUCAGCCUUGUUUUGAUCCAACCACCCCUCAGGAUAACCCACUAUUUCAUAACAAUUAUUUUUGUCAUGGCCAUGCUUGUGACAGUGAGGACAAGCAACGAGAGACCAACAAGUUGAAGUCUCAUGCCCCGUCUUCUUGCAGUGGCUACACAUAGGCCUCUCCGUUUUUCCUCGUCCUCUUCCAGCACCUGUACGGACAACGAAGCCAAGGACCUCUGCGGGCUUGUCUUCUGUGACUGCCUUGGCGAGCCGCACACGCUCAUCUUGUAUCACCAGUUGGUACGCUCGAUCAAGCGAAGGCAAGGGAUCUUGAGAAAGGAUAUUGGUUCGUAAUUGAGCGUACAGAUCAGUGUUGAGUCCCAUCAAGAAGUCAUGUAAUUUUCCUUGUUCACGUCUUGCUUGGUGCAAUGAUGCGGCAGUACAAGACGAACAACAAGUGCAAGAAAUUAGCGAUUCAUGCUUAAAUAAUUCCUCCCAUAAUACAUUCAAUUUGCUAUAGUAAGUUGUAACAGACAUAGAUUUCGGUUGCUCACACUUAGCAAUUGAAGUCUUUAACUGUUGAAUUCUUGGGCCAUUAACCAUAGCAUAUCGUUGCUUAAGAUGCUCUCAUAAGCGUUUUGCAUCACGAAAUUUAGAUAGGGUACUCUUUACCUCGGGAUCGAUUGUGUUUGUAAUCCAAGAAACCAACAUUGCAUUGACGGUGUUCCAAUCAGAUUGGGUAUAUGGAGGUUGUGGUCCGGUGAUAGUGUCUUCCAAAAAUUCGAACUUGCGGCGUGCCUCCAAUGCCAACUGAAUAUCGGAAGCCCAAUCAUCGUAAUUGUCGCCGCGUAAGCGAGUGGGAGUGAUGAAGUCGCCUGGUCGGUCUCCUGUACGGAGAAAAAAAGGUGAAUUCAUCUCCCUUUUAGGUGGCGGCAAUGGUGGUUGUUCAUCGUCGCCGGCCAUUGUUUUAUUGUGUGUGCAUGUCAGUGCUCUGAUACCAUGUAAAGUGUGAUUAAAGGGUCAAAGCUUGGCCCCAAUUGAUAUUCAUCACGUAAAUAUAUAGUACAUCAAGCAAACCUAAUUAAGGGAAAACCGUGAGUUUAGGAAACAAUCCUAAACAAUAGCAACUACUUUCCUAGAAUAUAUCAUAAUAUCUCAAUGUCGUGAGUUUAGGAAACAAUUCUAAACAAUAGCAACUACUUUCCUAGAAUAUAUCAUAAUAUCUCAACAACCACCCAUCUUGGACCCCCCCCCCCCCCCCCCCCCUCUCCUCCUUCUUCAUGCUUGGACGGUUGGACCAUCCAACCAUGCUUCACAACCAAAUACUUUUAUUUUUAAUUUCAUAAAAUUUAUGAUGUCCUAUCACUCCAUCAGUAUCACAAUAUUAAUUUAUCCUGUACAAAUUAAUAAAAUUCUCAAAUUUAUUUUUACUUUUUUAACUAAUAAGAUAUUAAAAAUAUUAUUCCACAUUAUCUCAAAAUUAUUUUUAUUUCAUACAUUAUCUCAUAUCCUUUGUCACUUAUCUUGAUAUUUUGUCUUUAUAAAGUGUCUUCUGUGGCUCUCCAUUGCCACUUAUCAAAAGUCUCAUUAAAAGAUCAUUUUUGCUCUCAUACCAAGUUGAAAUCCAAAAAAAGAUUCAAAAAGAAAAAGAUCGAGAGAAAGACAAAAUUUAGGAUUUCUUAUUAUGAAUUCUUUUAAAAAUAACUCCAACAUCAUUAGAAUUUAAAUAAACCUAAUAAAAUAAAAUAAAGACUAUUUUACUCUUACUUGUAAAAAGAAAGAAAAUAAUUUUAAUAUAGUAAUUAAGUAUAAUAACUAAAUAGUAUAUAAUUCUAAUAUACUAACUAAAGAAAUUAAUAACUUCUAACAUAUUUUACGAUUGGAUAUUGUAGAUGGGCCUUUUAAAUAAUAUUUCUUUGAUGUGAUGAUGGGUUUGAUAUUUUAGUAAAGUAUAGUUGGACUUAUUUUGGUUCUUUGAUUAUGAACUAAUAUUUGGUGAUACACUGAUACUACAAAUGCAAUAUUUGAGUGUAUUAAUUUUUGCUAUGAUUAUUUUAAAUUAUGGUUACAUCUUAGAGGUUUUUUUCAUAAGUAUAAUUGAUUAUAAAUAUAAUUAUAAUAUUAUUGUAAAACAUUUUAUAAAACCUAAUACAUAAUAUUUAAUGAUUUAAGAUGAGUUUAAGUUAAAUUAUAUUUAAAUCAUUAAAUUAAUUAAGCAAAUGUCUUCAAAUUAUUUUUAAUUUUAAGUUAUAUAAUAUUUAUUAUGGUUAAUAAUUUAUGUGAUUAGGUCGUUAAGAUAAUUUAUCUAAUAAAUUUCUUUUACUUAGAUAAUCUUAUGAGGAGCAAACCUUGGCAUUCACUCUCACCCUUUUACAAAGCUUUACUUCCUUGAUUUUCUAAGUGUGCUAUCGCUAAAACAUGAUGGUUUUGGAGGCUAUGUUGUUGAAUGUCCUAAAACUGUGUUGGAUUAGUUUCACCAUCACUUAGAACUCUUGGGUUAGAGCCCAUUUGACCAUAUUAUUUUAUACUUAUUGUUAGAAUAAUUAGGUUAAUCCAAACUAAUGUAGUCACCCUAGUGAGGGGAUGAAUAGGGUGAUGGUUUCAUUUUACAAAUUUAAAUUAUAUGAAUGUAAGACACAAUUAUAAGAAAAUAUAUAAUAAAAUAAUAUAAAAACAAUUGCAUAUAAAAUAAAAGAGUAGGGAAGAGAGAAUGUAAACAUAAGAUUUUUAUAGUGGUUCAACGUAACCUGGCCUACAUCCACUCUUCUUUAGCUUUAAUCCCAAGCUUGAGGUUCCAUUAAUUCAAGGUUUCCAAAUCAAGCCUUCAAACAAUACAAUUGGAUUAUGGUUUCAAUCCACUAUCUUGGACUUUUGGCUCCAAGCACCCUUUACAAUCUCCAAGAGAUAUCUCACUCUUGAACAACCUCUCAAUUGAUAUCCCACACUUGAGAAUCCCUAAGUGAUACCUCACACUUAGAUUCUUUAUCUCAAAAAAUUACAAAAGAUAAGAAAUAAUCUUACAAAAUCCUAGUACAAAACUUAAGGCUCAAAUGUACAAGAAAAACUAAGAUUGAAAGGUGUAUUAAUGAUAUGUAAGUUUUAGAACAAUGGUGCACUCAAAAAUACUCUUCUAAGGCUUAAAUAUAUUUAAGAAAGGUUUAGGAAGGUUAAGUUCUUGAAACAAUGAAGAUUUGAGCUUUUUUAUAUAGGAAAAAGGCCAAAUUAGCCAUUGGGGGGUUCAUUCGGUCAAGCUCUGAUUCAAUCGGUUCACUAGCCGUUAGCAUUUAAUGCAUGACAGGUGAUCGUUGGACCUUGACCACCCCUUGACCAGACCUUGACCGGUUGAAUAAGCAUUGUGGAAGAAAGAGAAGGUUUUUGCACCCUUCAACCGGUUAAGCAUAAAAUGUCAACUGGUUUUUCAUCUGGUUCAACUGGUUGAGUCGUUUUUGGCUCAACAACCAUCAUUUUGAACUUAAAACCUUUUAAAUAAGUUUAGAAAACAUUUGACACAAGGUUUUAGUUGAAAACAUGAAAUCAUCCGAAGAGAGAAACUCAUGGAAAAUAUAGAUUGAAUGAAACUAAGAGAUCAAGACACAUCAAAAGAAUGAUGAACAAUGAAUCCCAGAAGAAGAUUGAAAACCUCUCACAAUCUAACCCAGUUUGUUUUAGGUGUGGUAAGGUAGACCAUUAUAAGAAAGAUCGUAAGGUUAAGAAGAAAAUUAAUAACUUAAACAUUUUGGAAGACUUAAAAGACAUGCUUUGUAAAGUAAUGUUAAACUCCUUAGAACUUGAAUCAAGGACUGGUUCAGAUAAUGAAAAUGAUACUAAUCAACUUCUAGACAUUGAUGAAGACAAUUCGAGUCAAACAUCUAGUGAUCUAGAAGAGUGCAUUAAAGGCAGUUGUGAUUGCCAUCCUAAGACUAUAAAUGUCAUAAUCCAAGAACAAGAAUUGGUUUUGGAUGUUUUAAGAAAGAUAAAAGAUGAAACUAUUAAGCAAGAAUUUUAUGAAGUCUUUAAGAAAUCCGUCCAUAAACCAAAAAUUAAGAAGACGGUGAGUCCUUAUAAUCUAAAUGAAAUCUUAACAAGAUUUAAUCAAAAUUAUCCUAAAGAUAUCAUAAUUAAGGAUCUUCAAGAAGAAAUAAGACAGUAUAAGAAAGAAAUUCAGGAUUUAAGACAAUUCACAAGUCUAGGUUUAACAGACCUCCAAGACCAGAUCAACAAGAUUGUUGUUAACCAAUGAAACUUUGAAGAGGUUCUAGAAUCAUCACAAGUCAAUGAAGAAGUGAUAGAUUCAUACUUAAAUACUGUUAGCAGAAUUAUUUUCCAAAAAUGGGAAGUCUACCUAACUAUAGUAAUCAAGGAUAAGUUUGUCUUUAAUUCCAUCACUUUGAUUGAUUUAGGAGCAGCUCUGAAUUGCCUCCAAGAAGGUCUAGUACCAACCCAAUUUUAUAGGAAAACUAAGCAAAUGCUUUCAAGAGCAAAUGGUACAAGACUUAUGAUUGAUUACAAGUUGUCAAAUGCACAUAUUUGUAAUCAGGACAUUUGAAUUAAUAAAACCUUCAUUCUAGUUAGAGACUUGAAGGAAAAAGUUCUUCUAGGAGUACCAUUUUUAAAUUCUAUCUACCUUAUUAGAGUAGAUAACCAAGGUUUAAGAACAACACCCUUAAAUAAGGAAAUUCUCGUUGAAUUCACUGAUCCACCUUGUAAGAAUUGAAGAACAAUUGAAAGAAGAAAACUCAAGAUGUAGUAGAAAUAUUUAAGAAUAAGAUUAUUGGAAAAGUUUUCUCUAACAUUCCUAAUAUGUUCUAAAACAAGAAGUAGCAUGAGGUUGAGUUACCUUAUGAACCAGAUUUUAGUGACAAAAAUAUUCCCACUAAAGCCAGACUUAUCCAGAUGAAUAAGGAAUUAUUAAGAUAUUGUGAAAAAGAUAUUUAGGAUCUUCUUGAUAAGAAAUUGAUAAGGAAGUCUAAGUCCCCUUGGAGUUGUUCAACCUUCUAUGUUCAGAAACGAGCUGAAUUAGAAAGUGGAACACCUAGACUAGUAAUUAACUAUAAGACUCUUAAUGAUGCAUUAAGAUGGAUUAGGUAUUUUAUUCCAAAUAAAAAUUACAUUUUUCAAAAGUUAGUUAAGUCCAAGAUAUUCUCUAAGUUUGAUAUGAAAUCAGGAUUUUGGCAAAUCCAGAUUGCUAAGAAAGAUAGGUAUAAGACAACCUUUGUGAUACCCUUUAGACAUUAUGAAUGGAUUAGGAAUAUAAAUACACCCAAGGAUAUAUAUACUUCAAUAUUGGGUAAAGAGAGAGAAAAAGAAAGAUAUCAUAUGCAAUUUUAUUUGUUUUUUAUGAUUUUUUUCUUAAAUUUCUCAAUGUUUUUUCCUUUAUUUUUAAAAACUAAUAUAAACAACUUCUACUUGUCUUUUAAAAACUAUUCUUUGUUUUCUUUUGUUUCUAAAAAUUGGAAAUAAAAAACUAUGAACAACACAGUACUAUGAAUUUUUAAAAAUAGUUAUCUAUUUUUAAAUCAUAGAGUCAAAUAGGGUCUAAUAGUUUGUUUGACCAUGUAAUUUGAAAACAUUUUUGUGUUUUCAAAUCGAACUACACUUAUUUAGUAAAAUUCAUUAAUUUUUAAAAAUAAUUCAAAACUCAAAAACCAAUAAUAUGAGAAAAUCUUGGAACUAAAAACUAAUCCAAUUUUGAAUAACUUUCCUAUAUUUUUCUUUUUGGCAUAUAAUUAUAUUUUUUUCAAAUUUGUUCAAUAGGCAAAUAAAUUUCAAAUCAAGUAAGACUUGAUGUGUUGGAUUCAUCAACGAGUCUAGUAAUUUUUAAAAAUAGUUUAAAACUCAAAUGAUUUAAUUAAUACAAGAAUCAUAGGGACAAAAAUUGAUUCAUAAUAACUCUAUUUUUCUUUUCUACAUAAAAUCAUAUUUUUUUCUAUUUUUUCACCAGGAAAAUAGACUUCAAAUUAAGCAAGACUUAUUUCAUUUUAUUUAUUAAUAAGUUUAGUCAUUUACAAAAAUAAUUUGAAAUUCAAAUAGUGACCCAUAUUUAACAAUAAUCUAAAAACAAAUUAUUAAUUUUGAAAAAAAAUCAAUUAUGCUUUUAUGAAAAUAUUAAUGUCCAUAUUUUUAUAACAUAUACUAAAGUAGUACAUUCUGUUAUGAAAAAAUAUAACGUAUAAUUUUACUACAAUAUUAUAACUAUUCAUAUUUUAUUAAAAACUAUAUAUAUAUAUAUAUAUAUAUAUAUAUAUAUAUAUAUAUAUAUAUAUAUAUAUAUAUAUAUAUAUAUUUUCUAAGUACAAAAUUAUUUUUAUUUUUACCAAGGCUUGAAUUAAAUUUAAUUAAUAUUAUAUACAUUAAGUCUAUGAUUUUAUAUAUAUAUAUAUAAAAUCAGAAUAUUAAAAAAAAAAUUAUCCAAACAAUGUUUUUUUUUAAGUGUUUUUAAAAACAAAGUUGCUAAACACCAUUGUUUUUAAAAAAUGAAAAUUGUUUUUUUUUUUUCACUUCAAAACAAUUUAUAAAAUAUAAGUAUAAAACCAAGGUUUGGUUAAUCUCGAUUUUGAUAAUAACAAAAUAAGGUUUGGAACUAAUGAUUAUAUUUCAAGUUUGAUUAAGCACGAAGAUUUCCAAAAUAGUAAUCACAAAAACAAAAUAUAGAAUGUUUCCUUAAAAAUUUUGAUUAGUUCAUCAGUCUCUACUUUAAAACUAAUUUAUUCAUUUAUAGCAUUAAUUCUCCUAAGGGACGGCUGAGGUGUCUCUGGGAUAAUUAAGUUAUAUUUUACUUUUUGACUUAUCUUUUCUAUUAAAUCUUGGUUAACAAAAGAAUUUUCUUGAAAUAUUUUAGAGAACUCAAAUGGCUUAAAUAAAGGCUUAGUAUUUUUAUUGACAAAAGAUGUUUUAAUGUGCUCUUGUGUUUCGAUGACCUCCUCAACCAUGUUGAGUUGAUCCCCUAGAGUUUUGAGAAACAUAUUAGUAUAGUUGUUUUGUUCCAUCAUUUUCUUAUUGUCUACUACACUAGCAGUUCCUUUAUCUCUUGUUUUAGUCUUAAAAAGUGAAGCUCUUAUUAUUGUACCAUUAACAUUCUUGUCUAUCUUAGCUUCUAGAGGAUGAAUGGAUUCUAUGACAGUGUCGUCACUAGUUUUCCAUAUCAUAGUUUUUGUGGAUAUAUUGUUGAUACUCCUAUCUAUAUAUAUAUAUAUAUAUAUAUAUAUAUAUAAAUUUCAAAUCAAACUAUACUUGAUACAUAAAAAUUAUUAAUUUUUAAAAGUAAUUUAAAACUCAAAAAUCAAUUUAGUUGGUAUUAGAAAGUCAUGAAAUGUAAUAACACUAAAAAGUAAUAGAUAAAAAUUUAUUUUGAAUGAAUUGACCAAUUUCUUUUUUGUAUAUAAUGAUAUUUUUGUAAAAUUUUUCACUAAGCAAGUAAACUCCAAAUUAAGAAAGGCUUAAUGCGUAGUAAUUUUUUAAUGAGUCUAUUAAUGAUUCCAAUUUAGAUUUAUUAAUGAGUCUAGUAACUUUUUAAAAUAAUUUGAAACUCAAAUAAUGAUCAAAUUAAUACAAAAAAAAUUAUAGAUAAAAAUUGGUCUAAAAUUGCUAUUGUUGUUUUUCUAUGUAGAACAUAUAUAUAUACAUUUACUAAAUGAAGCAAAACUUUACGAGUUAUGUUCAUCAACAAGUAUGAUAAUUUAAAAAAAAAUUAAUUUGAAACUCAAAUAGUAACCGAUUAAUACAAAAAAAUUAUGGAUAAAAAUUGUUCCACAAAGAUUCUAUUAUUUCUUUUUUUACACAUAAUUAUAUUUUUAAAAAUUUUAUCAUUUGGUAAAUGAAUUUCAAAUCAAGUAACAAUUUGUAUUAAAUUUAUUAAUGAGUUUAAUAAUUUUUAAAAAUAUUUUAAAACUACAAAAAUCGAUAUAAUCACUACAAAAAAUAAUAGAUCAAAACUGAUAUAUUAUGAGUUAUGACUUUACUUUUUCUCUUAUAAACAUAAUUAUAUUUUUUUCGCUAGUUAAAUACAUUCUAAAUUGAGAUAUAAUUAAUAAUGUAAAUUAUUUAAUGAAUUUUCUAAUUUUUCAAAAUAAUUAUGAAUUCAAAGGAUCGAUCUAAUUAAUUGCAUAUUAAAUCAAAGCACCAUACAAUACUUCGUUCAUAAUCGAGUACUAUACAUGUGCAUGUAAUGAAAACUUUGCUCAUUCACAUGUUAAACAAGUUAAACUUUAUUUGUUUUUGAAUUUAUUUAUAUAUAUAUAAUUUGUGAUUCUAGGAUAAUAUUACUAUUUAUAUUUUUACUAAAAACUAUUUAUUUGUAAUUAUAAAAUUAUUUUCAUUUUUAAUUACACAUCAAUUAAGUUCAAUUAAUAUAAUUAAUAUUAUGCAAAUUGAAUUUAUAACAUUUUACAGAUUUCAAUCUUCAUUAAUCUCAUGCCUUGAUAUGAAUCCAUUUUCAUCUGGGUUUAACCCCAAGCCCACCUUCCAUUUGUCGCAUAUGUAAUUCUGGUUAAGGAAUUGAUCUCCUAAGUAGGGCAGCAUAGGAAUUGAUCUCCUAAGAUUGACUUUUAUUUUCUAAAAACAAGUGUGUUUAGUAACUUGUUUUUAAAACCACUUUUCAAAAAAUAAAAAACAAAAAUUUGUUUGGAUAAAUUGUUUUUUUUAUAUUUUGAUUUUGUUAAAAAAAUCAUAGACUCAAUUUAUAUGAUAUAAGUUAAAUUUAAUUCAAGUCUUGUUAAAAAUAAAAAUAAUUUUGUAAUUAGAAGUAAAUAAAAAAUAUAUAGUUUUUAUUAAAAUAUGAAUAGUAAUAGUAUUAUAAUAAAGUUAUAAAUUAUAUUUUUUAUAUUAAAAUAUUAGUCUAGUAUAUGUUUUAAAAAUAUGGAUAUUAACAUUUUCAUAAAAGUAUAUCUAAAUUUUUUUUCAAAAUAAAUAAUUUUUUUUAAAAAAAUUAUUUAUUAAAAAUAUGGAUCACUAUUUGAAUUUCAAAUUAUUUUUAAAAAUUAUUGUACUUAUUAAUAAAUUAAACAGAGUAAGAGUGCGUUUGGCAGUAAUCGUAGAAAGUGUUUAUACUCUUUUUAACACUUAAAAAUUUUUAUUUUCAAGCAUAAAAAAUAUUAGAAACACUUCUUAAAAUCACUAUCAAACGCACUCUAAGUCUUGUUUGAUUUGUAGUAUAGUUGUUUGGUAGAAAAAUAAUAAUGAAAAAUAUGAUUCUAUAUAAAAGAGAAAAAUAAAGUUAUUAUUAAUCAAUUUUUGUCCAUAAAUUUUUUGUAUUAAUUGAAUCAUUAUUUUAGUUUUAAUUUAUUUUUAAAAAAUUAUUAAACUUGUUAAUAAAUCCAAGACAUCAAGUCUUGUUUGAUUUGAAGUUUAUUUGCCUAAUGAACAAAUUCAAAAAAAUAUAAUUAUAUAUGUAAAAAAAAAAAAGUGGCAAAGUUAUUCAAAAUAAAUUUUGGUUUAUAAAUUUCUUAUGUUAAUUGGAUUAGUUUUCAAUUUUAAGACUUUCUAACAUUAUCAAUUUUGGGUUCAAAUUAUUUUUAAAAAUUAAUAAAUUUUAUGUAUUUAAGUGUCGUUAUGCAUAAUUAAAAAAUUAGAAAAGUUAAAAGAAAUUUAGAAUAUGUAAUUCAAAGUAAGGAUGAAAAUAUCAGUAAUCAAGUACUUUGAUUUUGCGGAUAUAUUGAAGAGAUAUCAGCGGAUAUUUUGGAAAAAAAUAUCGAUAGGCUUAAAAUUGUUAAAAACUCAUGAAAAUGUAAGGAAAACCUCAUAAUAAUAUAAUUAGAAGUAUAAUAGACAUUUUAAAGUUAUUUUAUUGAAAAUUUUGAUAUAUGUAUAACAUGAUUUAUCAUAUUUGAUAAUAAUAUCGUAUGCAUCGAUAAAAAUAUUAAUUUUAUAAGUGUACAUUUAUUAUUAAAUUACAUAUAAUAUUAUGAUAUUUGAUUAUAAUAUGUCUAAUUUUAAAAUAUAUAUUAAUAGUAAAAUUAUGAUCCAUUUAAUUCAAUUGUAUUAAACAAUAUAAAAUAAAUUAUGAUAUAUAUAAACAGGAAUUAUGCCAUGAUUCAAAACAAAGAAGAGGGUUAGAUGAUACAAAAGAUAUCCAACAAGAAAUUUAAAGAGAAGGAACCCAAAAACUUGUUAGUUCAUAAUAAGCUUAAAACCGACCAUGUAGGCGGUACAAAAUAAAAAACAUAAAAUUAAAAACAAAGCUUAAUUAAAACCGACCAUGUAGGCGGUACAAGAACAUAAAAUAAAAUGAAAACAAAACUUAAAAAACCAUUCAUAUAGGAGGUAAUCAAAACAUAUUUAUAUUAUACAUAAGGAGAAAUAUCUUACAAUGGACAAGGGUAGGAAAGCUUGAAGAAAGCUUGAAAGCUUGAAGGGCUUUACAUGAUAAGAGAGAAAAAAGAGAGAAGGGAGAGCAUAAGCUUAGGAGAGAAAAUUAAGCGUGCUUACAAAUGAGGACCGAGCCCCUUUAAAUAUGCAAAAAAGGAAUCUUGAAUAGUAACAAUGAACAGUAGACCCGUGCUUGAAUAGUACUUGAAUAGUAAAAGUGAACAGAAAAAGGGAACUGUAGCACUUUUGACUUUUGACCCGGAAUCUUGCUUUCGACUGAAAUGACUGCUGUCAGGCUUCUUUAGACUGUGUAGUGCUGCUUUUGGUGCCGAAACUGCAAAGCUUGAAAUAUUCUUGUUGAUCGGCCAUCAUGAGAAAUCUUUAUGAUGAUCUUCAAGAAGCUUGAUAUCUUCAGUAAUAGACAUGGUUGGAAGAGGGUGUAACUUCUUGCCACAAAAAAUUUGAUGACAAGAAUCUGCAGCAAUGAGAUGUCCCAUAUUUCUUGGAAAAGCCUCAAAAUCCCUGCAAAUAAUUCUAGCUCUCCAGUGUUUGAUUUGCUUAAUAAUUGGUUCAGCACAAAUAUCAGAAAAUAGCAGAGGGUAAGACAGCCAAGUAGGUCUCCUAUUCUGAUAGUGAAGAGAAACAAUGUGCUGAGCUGGAAUAAGCUUGCCACUAGAAACCCACUCAGGAGCUUUGCUGAUGAUGAUGGCGUCCGCGAAUUUCUUAUUCAUUUUAAAUCCUUGGGUUAGGCCAAGAGCAAUUUUUCUUCCAAACUGGGAAACUUGGUUGGGAUCAGAACAGAUGAUUUGAUGGACCAGACCAUGGUCCAAAAGCUUUUCUGGAGUUAAUAAUAAAUCUUCACCCUUGAAUUUGAUGCUGAUUGGUGAAUAGUAUUGCAAGUCCAAGCAAACACGACUGAUUGUGAAAUUUCUGUUGCAGUUGCAAAUCAACUUCUUGAUGCCUUUUUGGUACUGGAAAGGUUCUUCAAUCAUUCUGCAAAUUUUUGAAUCAUCAACUUCCUUAUCAGUAACCAAGCUUAAACCUGGGACCUUAAGACCAAUAUUGGUAGAAAGAUAGAGAUGAAGAUCCUAGAGGUAUGAAGAUAUGAAGAUCUGUUUUUCUUCUGCUGAGGACUUAGCCUUUUCCAAAAUUAGGAGACGUAGUUCUGGCUGAAGAGAGUAUAGAUUCUCUGUCUUAUGAUGAUACAUCCUUAACAUACGGUAACCCAACUCUUCCUCACUCAAUUUAUCAUUCACCAGUGGGGUGGAAUGCUUAUUCUCACCAUUUUCCAGUGGGGAAAAUGAGGCUUGAGCUUUUAACAUGAGCUUAUGAAAGUCAACUAAUUCAAGUUUUCUUUCAAGAGUCUCAUACCUUCCCUGCCAUUCAAAAAUGCAAUUGAUAUAAUCAGAUAAAGUGUUAGUAUUGUUAAAAGAUGGAUUUGUGGGGAAGGAAUCUUCCACAAAAGGUAGAGAUUCCGAGCUUGAGUCUAUAUCUCUACUAGUGGAUGCUGAAGUAAUGUGAUGAUUGAAGUGGCUGGAAGAAUCUGCUAUUUCAAAAUGGUCAUAAUAAAGUGGCGUGAAUUUCUCAGAGAGAACUGAAUGGGAAUUCUUAGAAUUUGCAGGUUUAAUGGACCUAAGAGGUUGUUUGUCUUUCUUGGGGGCCAUGUUCUUGUGAAUCCUGCAAGUUCCACAAGUUGAGUGAUUAGGAAUGAAACUUUCUCUUUUAAUAAACUUAAUUUGAAAAUUAGGUUUUAAAAUAAUCCAAUCAGUUAAAUUAUGCUUAAAAGCUAUAUACUUAAUUGUUUUCUCAGAUGUGAAAACAACUUUUAAAAUUCCUUGAUUCAAAAUAUCAGUUCGAAAUUUUGAAAUGCAUAAAGGAAUGCUUAAAAUAUCAUUUAUAAUGAGAUUAUGAAUGAAAUGGGUAACUAGUAUCUCAGGUGGAUCAUCAAUUCUAACAAGAUUAAUUUCAUGAUCACAAGGAGUGAUGUUUUCAACAGGAUUAGCAAAUUCAAAAAGACUUUCCUUAUCAAAAAGUUUUGUUCUUAUACCUUGGUUAUCUACCCAUAAGGGAUAAAUAGAGCUUAAGAAGGGUAUUCCUAGGAGGGCUUUUUCAUUAAGAUCCUUAACAAGAAUAAAGGUUUGCUUAAUACAGAUAUCAUGGUUACGGAUAUGAACAUCUGUUUUAUACUUAAUGGCAAGUCUUUUACCAUUGGCUCCAAAUAGAGACUGACUAGUCUCUUCGCAUAAAGGAAUAGGUACAAGACCUUCUUGAAGGCAAUUUUCAACUACUCCUGAAUCAAUCAAAGCAAUAAUAUCAAAGACAAAUUUAUCUUUGACUACUAUAGUAAGGGAGACUUCCCACCUCUGGAAGAUAACCCUACUCACAGUAUUAAAAAAAGUAUAUGUCUCAUUAUCAUUAACAUGAGAAGAUUCUGGAAUAUCCAUAAGGUUUCUUUGGUUGACAAUUCUAUUGAUUUGAUCUUGAAGAUCAGAGAGACCUAAACUUAUGAAUUGUCUUAACUCUUUAAUCUCCUUUUUAUGCUGCUUAACUUCUUCAUGAAGUUCCUUAAUGCUGACUUCCUUGGGAGACUGUUGGUCAAACCUGUUUAAGAUAUCAUUAAGGUUAUAAGGAUUAACAAUCUUCUUGGCUUCUACCUUGACAACAGAUUUCUUAAAAACUUCAUAAAGAUUUUGCUUAGUCUUUUCAUCUUCAACUUUUCUUAAAGUAUCUAGGAUAAAUUCCUGAUCUUGGAUUAUGACAUUUAUAGUUUUAGGACGACGAUUACAAUUACCUUUAAUACAUUCUGCUUGGUCACUAGAAGAUUGGCUGGAAACUUCGCCACUACUGUCUAGUUGAUUAACAUCAUCUUCAUUAUCUGAAUUAGUCCUUGAUUCAGAAUCUGUGGAGUUUAACAUUACCUUACAAAGCAUAUUUUUUAGGUCAUCUGAGACACUUAAGUUAUUAAUCUUUUGCUUAACUCUACAAUCUUUUUUAUAAUGGCCAACUUUGCCACAUUUAAAACAGAUAAUUGGCUUGACAUCUAAAGGAGUUUCUACCUUUUUCUGGGUAUCUUUGUUGACCUUUCUUUGGACGUGCCUUGAUCGCUUAGUAUCAUUCAUCCUAUAGUUGUCAUAGGUACCUCUCUUACUGUGGUAAAACUUAUCUUUGCUAGGCUUCCUACUUGGUUUUUGCUUAGAAGGAGGCAUAGUUUCUUUUUGGCUAAAACCAAACUGGCUAUAGAAUGAUCCAAAUUCAUUCUUGUAGAUUUUUUGUUCAUUCUUCAUUUGUUGCUUAAGCUUGAAGUCAUUGCACAACUUAAUCCCUUCAGCUGUGACAAUGCUUAUAAUCUCACCAUAGGUUAGCUUAUCAUAAGGGAUUUGACAAUUAUACUGUUCCCUUAUCUUGAUCCUAAUUCUCUCAAAGAAAAGCUUGGGUAAUCCUGAGAUGAAUUUUUCUUCCCAAAAAAACUGGUUACAAUCUGAUCUUAGUAUGACUUUGUUAGGAAGACUUCCUUAUACCACUUAAAAUCAUGAAGCUUGGGACACUUAAGGUUGGUUAAGAGAUCUGCAGUUUUAUCCUUAAUUUUUGCAGGAUCUCCAAUGAAGUGCUUGGAUAUUGAGUAGAUUACAAUAGCCACUGCAUCCUCAAUAUCUUGGCCAUCUUCGUCCUUAACAACCUCAUUAUUCUCAUUAAUCCUAUAGGCUUUAAGGAUACUAUUCCUAUCAUCAAAAGUGAGAUAAUUAUCCCACCAACCCUUAAGCUGACCUGUAAACCCAGCAAUAAUGGUCUGAGCUACAGCAUGAUCUGGCAGUCUAUUGUUUAAUUUAUAGGUUGUACUUACCAUGGUCAUUUCUUGAAGCUUAGUGAGUAUGUUAUACUCGGUCAUACCGUCUAUGUUCCAUUCAUAGAUAGUACCACUGGUGUAUGAGGCUUGAGUAUAAUGAUUUCUUUCCUCAAACUGCAUAUCAGGAAAUGUAGGUCUAGGAUAGUAAUUCCUAGUCUUAAAGGUUUCUAAAUUGUUAAUAUCUUUUGAAAUAAUUUGAUUAUGGGGUUCCUCAAACAUUUUAAUUAGUUCAUCAGCUUCUUCUUCUGAACUAAUAUCACCUUUAACCAUAUUGAUUCUCUUAUCAGGCUGAAUAGUCAAAGGGGCAACAAGAUUAUCCUUAAUCCUUUGAUUAAUCCUAUCAACAAAAACCUGGUUGAUUUGGGGAUUUUCCUGGAAUUCCUUAGAAAAUUCAAAGGACUUAAUUUUAUCAGUGCUCUUAUGCUUAUAAGGAUAAUCUGGAUAUUCCUCUUGUUUGAAGAGUUCAAACCAAAUCCAAAACUUAAUAUUUUUCUUUUCUUGUCUUAAGUAGGCAUAGAAUUCUUCUUGGUAAAUGGUUCUAAUGACCUUAGGGACAGUGUUAAAGAACCAAUCAUUCCUUUGCUUAUUGACUUCAGAAUAGAAGUCCUUUCUUAAGAGAUCCUUGUUGAUCUCAAAGUCCUCAUCACUUAGGCUUAUUGUGUUAAUCGUCUGGGAAUAGGUAGGAGACAUAACAGGAGACUCAUCCUGUUGGGAUUACUGCGUAGACUCAUUUUCCUCAGAGUAAAAUGGUCUAGCCACAUUGGUGUGACUUCUAACACCUGUUAGCUUAAUAUUCUUAGGAUUUCCUGAACUGGAACCUUCUUCUUCCCUAGUGGUUCUAACAGGGAUGGGAGAGCUUGAAGCUCUAGAGGGUUCAUAAACAAAAACUCUAGGGCUGCUAGAAUGUCUGAAAGAGUUGGAGAAAACCAGUUCUCCUCCUCCAUCAGGAUAUUGAACAAUUUGUUCAAUACUUUCAGAACGCUGUGCAAUGGCUGGAACAGCAUUAGCAAAAUGCCAAUUUUCAGGAAACUCAACAUCUUUCCACAAGAUCUUCUUGGGAAUGAUGAAAUCUGACUUAUCUAACAUAUCUGAAUGAAAGUAAGUGGUCUCACCUUUAGGACUGGUGCAAAGAGCCCCAGAUCCAACGCUUGUGUUCAUGCUCUUAUAGGCAAACCUGGUUAUGAUUGAAACAGGACUGUUUCCUGGUUUGAUCUUAAAGUCAUGGGUCUUAAUAUGCAGGACAACGGAAUCUAAGAUGUCUGCAUCUCUUAUUCUAACUGUGAAGUUAGGAUAGCACUGGAAAUAAACUGGGCCAUCAUUCAGUCCAGCUUGGACUGCGCCUAUAAUAGAAUCUCGAUAUUCGAGAUGCCUAUUAUCCCUUAAACACAUGACAAUAGAGGUGUUUAAACCUAAUCUUGUCAAAGGCUUAGCAGCUACUUAAAUCAUACCAAAGUGUAUGAAAUUAUAGCCAUCUUUCUUAUGCUUUUCAAUGGAUCUGUUAUCUAGAAGUCUUAUGACUUGGUUGUCUUGUUCUAAGCUGACUAACAUUUCAGAGGUCUUAAUGGUAUAAUCUGUGAAGAACUUAAAGGUUUCUUUCUUAUAAAUUUCUUGAUUAGACACCUUGGGUAACUUCCAAUCAUCUAAAUCAUUUUGGAUCUUAAGAUAAUUGAUCUCUUCACUGUUUACAACAGUAUCUUGAGAAUCAUUAGAUCUCCUAGACAUGGUUCUGAAAAUUGAACUCAUUUUAGGGUUUUUGAACUAGAGCCUAAUAGCAGAUUGACAAACCUUAUGAGACGUCACCCCAACCCUCUUAUAGCCUAACAAACGCCUAUCCACGACUAACAACGGCUCAAUUGGCAGGGCUCGCUCUCCUAGGCACACUGCUACCUAUCCUAUGAUAGGCCAAGAACACCCAAAACAAGACUCAACUUCCCUUCCUCAUGGCUCUGAUACCAUAGACACCCAGGACACGGUCAUAUGCAAUGAAAACAGGAAUUAUGCCAUGAUUCAAAACAAAUGAGAGGGUUAGAAAAUACAAAGGAUAUCCAACAAGAAAUUUAAAGAGAUGGAACCAAAAAACUUGUUAGUUCAUAAUAAGCUUAAAACCGACCAUGUAGGCGGUACAAAAAUAAAAAACAUAAAAUUAAAAACAAAGCUUAAUUAAAACCGACCAUGUAGGCGGUACAAGAACAUAAAAUAAAAUGAAAACAAAACUUAAAAAACCAUCCAGCCAUUCCUGGUCUCAGUGUUCCAGGAUUAAAUUUAACCAAGGAAAUGGAAUUUGAUGGCUCAAAACUUUGCAGAAAUUGUACUGAACCGCUUCUUCAUCAACAAGACAACAAGCCAAUUUGCAACUGCAAUAGAAAUUUCACUAUCAACAGAGCCUACAUUGAUCUACAGUAUUACCAACCAAUUAACCUUGCUUUCAAAUGAGAAGUUUUAAUCCUAACUCCUGAAAAGCUUCUUAAUUAUGGAUUGGUUUACCAAUAAGGGCUUUACAUGAUGAGAGAGAAAGAAGAGAGAAGAGAGAGCAUAAGCUUAGGAGAGAAAAUUAAGCGUGCUUACAAAUGAGGAUCGAGCCUCCUUAAAUAGGCAAAAAAGGAAUCUUGAAUAGUAACAAUGAACAGUAGACCCGUGCUUGAAUAGUGAAUAGUGAAUAGUGAAUAGUAAGAUUCACUUUUAUACCGAAAUCCCCCGAAAAACCCUCUUUCGGCUGAGAAGACUUCUGGCAGGCUGCUUUAUACUGUGUAGACACAUGCUUGCUACUUUUGGAACAGAAACUACAAAGCUUGUAAAAUAUUCUUAACGGAAGACAAAAGGCUGAUGAUUACUUAGAUCUUCUUAUUGGAGGAAGGAUUCCUUCAAAGUCAUCACCAUUGUCUGGAAGGUAGCUUGUUGAAUCAUUAGACUCUACAUCAGAAUUUUCUUGGGAGAAACUUGAGCUUCCUUCUUCAAGGAUUUUCUGGAAAUCUUGAGGGGUCUUAGCUGCUACGAGCAUGGCUUGUAACUGUUGCUUUUUAAGGAGAAACAGAGACAUAUCAUCACUGGCUGAGACUCGUGUGGGGUUCUGGAGGAAAUACUGCUUAACUGUAUCAAUAGAUGCAUCAUUUUUUAAGGCAUCCCACCAUUUUGUUUUAAAGGUCCUUCCCAGAGAUGGAAAGGUUACUGAUUCAUCUGUAAUGAUAAUAUAGUCCCACUGGACUAUCCAAGCAAGGCCAAAUUUGCUGAAGAAGAAUAGUAAAGGAGGAAAAGUUGAAAGUUCUCUGGGGAUAUCAAAAGAACUUCUGAAUAGCUCAAAGCCAUCCAGGAUGGGCUUGGGAAGAAUCUUAAUAGUCGGACCAUAAUAAUUCCACCAACUGUAAAACCAAAAUGGGAAAGAGGAAAGCUGAUUCUUAGAUGGAAAAUAGAACAUCCAUGAAUGAUGGAAGUCCCUAUUCUGGAUCAGAAAAGCAUUAAACCAUGCUCUUUGAUAAUCCCAAUAAUUAAAAAACCUUGGCUUUGAUGGUUCAGAAAAUUCCCUUGAAAGAUUAGGAUUUCCUCCCCAUUGCUUAACAGUAAGAAUCUUAUAGAUAUGGCAGGUGGAGAAUGCCAAACCCAUAUUACUGAAUUUGUCUGCAUUAUGCUUAAUUUUAACAGAACCAGUUUCUGUAAGGACUGCUUCAUAAAACUCUCUUGUUCUUAAAAUAUCACUAGAGGGAUAAUGAAAAUUUUCUUGAAAAGCUUUUGCAGCAAUUUCUCUGGGGUUUUCAGAGAAAAAUUCUCUUUCUAUAACCAAAAGAGGUUGAUUUAAAUCAUUUUGCCAAUAUCUUGAUUUUGUUGAAAGAGGUGUGGGGUUGGCAGCCACCACAAUUUGCUUGUUUGAAAAAGAGGAGCUUGAUGCUAAUUCCUUUUGAGAGGGAUUAGCCUUAGUGACUUGCUUGAAGGUCUGGGACCCUGAAAUGGCUGGAUACUGGGUGGCCUUGACUGGAUUAGCUGGAUCAGAAUGAUCAUAGUACAAGGUCAUCAUCUUGUUAGGCAUAGGUUUAGAAUAAUGAAGCCUUGCUUCUUCUUCUUCAACUUGUUGGCUCCAUAGCAUUUUAUGGGGAGAAGGAGCUUGACUGGGUUGGGUUUUCUGGCUAGGAGCUUGGGUAUUCUUUUUAGAGGCCAUGGUCUCGUGAACCCUACAAAUUCCAUGAGUUGAGUGAUUAGGAAUGGAACUUUCUCCUUUAAUAAUCUUGAUUUGAAAAUUAGGGUUUAAAAUAAUCCAAUUAGUUAAAUUAUACUUAAAAGCUAUAUACUUAAUUGUUUUCUCAGAUGUGAAAACAACUUUUAAAAUUCCUUGGUUUAAAAUAUCAGUUUGAAAUUUUGAAAUGCAUAAAGGAAUGCUUAAAAUAUCAUUUAUAAUGAGAUUAUGAAUGAAUUGGGUACCUAAUAUCUUAGGUGGAUCUAACAAGAUUAAUUUCUUGAUCACAAGGAGUGAUGUUUUCAACAAAAUUAGCAAAUUCAAAAAGAAUUUCCUUAUCAAAAAGCUUUGUUCUUAUACCUUGGUUAUCUACCCACAAGGGAUAAAUAGAGCUUAAGAAGGGUAUUCCUAGGAGGGCUUUUUCCUUAAGAUCCUUAACAAGGAUAAAGGUAUGCUUAAUACAGAUGUCAUGGUUACGGAUAUGAACAUCUGUUAAUUUAUACUUAAUAGCAAGUCUUUUGCCAUUGGCUCCAAAUAGAGACUGACUAGUCUCUUCGCAUAAAGGAAUAGGUACAAGACCUUCUUGAAGGCAAUUUUCAGCUGCUCUUGAAUCAAUCAAAGCAAUAAUAUCAAAGACAAAUUUAUCUUUGACUACUAUAGUAAGGGAGACUUCCCACCUUUGGAAGAUAACCCUACUCACAGUAUUCAAAAAAGUAUAUGUCUCAUUAUCAUUAACAUGGGAAGAUUCUGGAAUAUCCAUAAGGUUUCCUUGGUUGGCAAUUCUAUUGAUUUGAUCUUGGAGAUCAGAGAGACCUAAACUUAUGAAUUGUCUUAACUCUUUAAUCUCCUUUUUAUACUGCUUAACUUCUUCAUGAAGUUCCUUAAUGCUGACUUCCUUGGGAGACUGUUGGUCAAACCUGUUUAAGAUAUCAUUAAGGUUAUAAGGAUUAACAGUCUUCUUGGCUUCUACCUUGACAACAGAUUUCUUAAAAACUUCAUAAAGAUUUUGCUUAGUCUUUUCAUCUUCAACUUUUCUUAAAGUAUCUAGGAUAAAUUCCUGAUCUUGGCUUAUGACAUUUAUAGUUUUAGGACGACGAUUACAAUUACCUUUAAUACAUUCUGCUUGGUCACUAGAAGAUUGGCUGGAAACUUCGCCACUACUGUCUAGUUGAUUAACAUCAUCUUCAUUAUCUGAAUCAAUCCUUGAUUCAGAAUCUGUGGAGUUUAACAUUACCUUACAAAGCAUAUUUUUUAGGUCAUCUGAGACACUUAAGUUAUUAAUCUUUUGCUUGACUCUAUAAUCUUUUUUAUAAUGGCCAACUUUGCCACAUUUAAAACAGAUAAUUGGCUUGACAUCUAAAAGAGUUUCUACCUUUUUCUGGGUAUCUUUGUUGACCUUUCUUUGGACGUGCCUUGAUCGCUUAGUAUCAUUCAUCCUAUAGUUGUCAUAGGUACCUCUCUUACUGUGGUAAAACUUAUCUUUGCUAGGCUUCCUACUUGGUUUUUGCUUAGAGGGAGGCAUAGUUUCUUUUUGGCUGAAACCAAAAUGGUUACAGAAUGAUCCAAAUUCAUUCUUGUAGAUUUUUUGUUCAUUCUUCAUUUGUUGCAUAAGCUUGAAGUCAUUGCACAACUUAAUCCCUUCAGCUGUGACAAUGCUUAUAAUCUCACCAUAGGUUAGCUUAUCAUAAGGGAUUUGACCAUUAUACUGUUCCCUUAUCUUGAUCCUAAUUCUCUUAGAGAAAAGCUUGGGUAAUCCUGAGAUGAAUUUUUCUUUCCAAAAAGACUGGUUACAAUCUGAUCUUAGCAUGACUUUGGUUAGGAAGACUUCCUUAUACCACCUAAAAUCAUGAAGCUUGGGACACUUAAGGUUGGUUAAGAGAUUUGCAGUUUUAUCCUUAAUUUUUGCAGGAUCUCCAAUGAAGUGCUUGGAUAUUGAGUAGAUUACAGUAGCCACUGCAUCCUCAAUAUCUUGGCCAUCUUCAUCCUUAACAACCUCAUUAUUCUUAUUAAUCCUAUAGGCUUUAAGGAUACUAUUCCUAUCAUCAAAAGUGAGAUAAUUAUCCCACCAACCCUUAAGCUGACCUGUAAACCCAGCAACAAUGGUCUGAGCUACAGCAUGAUCUGGUAGUCUAUUGUUUAAUUUAUAAGUUGUACUUACCAUGGUCAUUUCUUGAAGCUUAGUGAGUAUGUUAUACUCGGUCAUACCGUCUAUGUUCCAUUCAUAGAUAGUACCACUGGUGUAUGAGGCUUGAGUAUAAUGAUUUCUUUCCUCAAACUGCAUAUCAGGAAAUGUAGGUCUAGGAUAGUAAUUCCUAGUCUUAAAGGUUUCUAAAUUGUUAAUAUCUUUUGAAAUAAUUUGAUUAUGGGGUUCCUCAAACAUUUUAAUUAGUUCAUCAGCUUCUUCUUCUGAACUAAUAUCACCUUUAACCAUAUUGAUUCUCUUAUCAGGCUGAACAGUCAAAGGGGCAACAAGAUUAUCCUUAAUCCUUUGAUUAAUCCUAUCAACAAAAACCUGGUUGAUUUGGGGAUUUUCCUGGAAUUCCUUAGAAAAUUCAAAGGACUUAAUUUUAUCAGUGCUCUUAUGCUUAUAAGGAUAAUCUGGAUAUUCCUCUUGUUUGAAGAGUUCAAACCAAAUCCAAAACUUAAUAUUUUUCUUUUCUUGUCUUAAGUAGGCAUAGAAUUCUUCUUGGUAAAUGGUUCUAAUGACCUUAGGGACAGUGUUAAAGAACCAAUCAUUCCUUUGCUUAUUGACUUCAGAAUAGAAGUCCUUUCUUAAGAGAUCCUUGUUGAUCUCAAAGUCCUCAUCACUUAGGCUUAUUGUGUUAAUCGUCUGGGAAUAGGUAGGAGACAUAACAGGAGACUCAUCUUAUUGGGAUUCCUGUGUAGACUCAUUUUCCUCAGAGUAAAAUGGUCUAGCCACAUUGGUGUGACUUCUAACACCUGUUAGCUUAAUAUUCUUAGGAUUUCCUGAGCUGGGACCUUCUUCUUCCCUAGUGGUUCUAACAGGGAUGGAACAGCUUGAAGCUCUAGAGGGUUCAUAAACAGAAACUCUAGGGCUGCUAGAAUGUCUGAAAGAGUUGGAGAAAACCAGUUCUCCUCCUCCAUGAGGAUAUUGAACAAUUUGUUCAAUACUUUCAGAACGCUGUGCAAUGGCUGGAACAGCAUUAGCAAAAUGCCAAUUUUUAGGAAACUCAACAUCUUUCCACAAGAUCUUCUUGGGAAUGAUGAAAUCUGACUUAUCUAGCAUAUUUGAAUGAAAGUAAGUGGUCUCACCUUUAGGACUGGUGCAAAGAGCCCCAGAUCCAACGCUUGUGUUCAUGCUCUUAUAGGCAAACCUGGUUAUGAUUGAAAAAUGACUGUUUCCUGGUUUGAUCUUAAAGUCAUGGGUCUUAAUAUGCAGGACAACGGAAUCUAAGAUGUCUGCAUCUCUUAUUCUAACUGUGAAGUUAGGAUAGCACUGGAAAUAAACUGGGCCAUCAUUCAGUCCAGCUUGGACUGCGCCUAUAAUAGAAUCUCGAUAUUCGAGAUGCCUAUUAUCCCUUAAACACAUGACAAUAGAGGUGUUUAAACCUAAUCUUGUCAAAGGCUUAGCAGCUACUUAAAUCAUACCAAAGUGUAUGAAAUUAUAGCCAUCUUUCUUAUGCUUUUCAAUGGAUCUGUUAUCUAGAAGUCUUAUGACUUGGUCGUCUUGUUCUAAGCUGACUGACAUUUCAGAGGUCUUAAUGGUAUAAUCUGUGAAGAACUUAAAGGUUCAUUUCUUAUAAAUUUCUUGAUUAGACACCUUGGGUAACUUCCAAUCAUCUAAAUCAUUUUGGAUCUUAGGAUAAUUGAUCUCUUCACUGUUUACAAAAGCAUCUUGAGAAUCACUGGAUCUCCUAGACAUGGUUCUGAAAAUUGAACUCAUUUUAGGGUUUUUGAACUAGAGCCUAAUAGCAGAUUGACAAACCUUAUGAGACAUACCCCAACCCUCUUACAGCCUAACAAACACCUAUCCACGGCUAACAACGGCUCAACCGGCAGGGCUCGCGCUCCUAGGCACACUGCUACCUAUCCUAUGAUAGGCCAAGAACACCCAAAACAAGACCCAACUUCCCUUCCCCAUGGCUCUGAUACCAUAGACACCCAGGACAAGGUCAUAUGCAAUGAAAACAGGAAUUAUGCCAUGAUUCAAAACAAAGAAGAGGGUUAGAUGAUACAAAAGAUAUCCAACAAGAAAUUUAAAGAGAAGGAACCCAAAAAUUUAAAGGGAAGUUGGGUCUUGUUUUGGGUGUUCUUGGCCUAUCCUAGGAUAGGUAGCAGUGUGCCUAGGAGCGCAAGCCCUGCCGGUUGAGCCGUUGUUAGCCAUGGAUAGGCGUUUGUUAGGCUGUAAUUUUUUUAAUAUUUAAUUAAUUAUUAAUGAUAUUAAAACCAUUAUGAAGAAAAUUAUAUAAUUUUUAUAUUUUUAGUAAUCAAUUAAAAGAAAAUUUUACAUUUAAUUAUAAAAUAAUUAUAAUUAAUUUGUUCUUUAAAAUAUUCUUUUAGUAUUUUCUUUAUAUAAUAAGUUUAAGUAUAUAUAAGUUUAGUGUACAAUAUAUAAUAAAGGCAACGUUGCCCGGAUGGCAAGUGGAGUGUACCCCAAACCUUUUGGUUUGAAGUUCAAAUCCCUCGAUACUCUCCGAUACAUGAUAUAUCGCGAUAUUUUCCUCCUUGAUUCAAAGUAAGAUCGUAUUUGUAGAUUUCUCUUUAUUUCAACCAUAUUUGUAAUUAUAUUUUUGCUGUGUGAGAAACAAAAAGAGAUAUCAACCAUGUUUUGUUUGUUUAGUUGCCCAAUUUUUGUGUAAGCUCCAAAUGAUGCCGCUUUCAAUCCUUUUCAAAUGCUCUGUUCCUGCACUUUUUUAUGUUGCCAUGUACACAACAGUAGUUCUUGAUCCCCAAUCAGUGAAAGCUCAAAAGUAAUGCCUUACAUCAGUAUCUGUCAUUAAUUAGCUCCACCACACAAAUUUUAUGGGGAAUUUGUCAUUGUUUUGUUACAUCAACAUGACAAACCAACCUCUGCAAAUACACAAGAUGUAACAUUGGGAAGCAUCUUGUUUCAUUGCUUCAAUAAAGGUUGUGAAAUUCUUGUAAGAAGAUCCACCUUCACUCAUACUCUUUCUAGCCAUUUCCUUCACCAGCUGUGCAUUUGCUUUUAUACCAUCAUCAGAAACCAAUUUUUCAAUCUCAUGCCUUGAAAUGAAUCCAUUUUCAUCUGGGUUCAACCCCAACUCUGGUUAUGGAAUUGAUCUGCCAAGUAGGGCCAGCAUAGGAAGGGGACUCCCAUGCCCACGCUGUCCAUGGUUGAGUUCCAUCCACAAUGGGAUAAGAAACAUGCUACAGAAGGGUGAGCUAACACCUUUUCUUGGGGUGCCCAUGAAACAAUCUUUCCAUGGUCCGCUACUCUCUCUAUGAAGCCAUCUGGGUAUUCAGCAGUGGAUCAUCGGGUGAAGUCUGUUCGGACAACCCAUAAAAAUGGCUGGCCUGCAAGUUCGAGACCAAUUGCUAGUCCAUUGAAUUGGUGCUGGUUGAAGAUUGUUGUACUACCAAAGGCAACAUAAAUGACUGAGCCAGAAGGUUGUUUAUCAAGCCAGUUUAUGCAGGUUCAAUCCUCAGGCCAAAAGCUUCCACCAUAAUGACCGUGAUGAUUACUUGCAAGUAACGGGCCAGUAAUAUGUUACGAAUCAAGUCACAAGCAGAUGAGUCAAGUUCUUAAACCGAGUUGCAAAGAAGCCACUUGGAAAAAUUCAUAGCUUGGAUGCAUCUCUGAGAAAGUCUGAAACAGAUCUCUUGUCCCUUUGGACACCUGGGCAACUCCAGGGCAAUCUGUUGCUGCUCAAGACUGGGAGAUCCUGCAGAGAUAUUUGAGUUACUUGCAUCAAAACCAAGAAAUUUCUCUACUUCCCCAAGUUUUUUAUUUUUUAAUUUUCAAGGGCUAUUAGGUUUAUUCUCGUACUUGUUUUCAAUUACUUGACACCUUAUUGUUUCCCUGAUUAGGUAUAUAUCAAAAAGAAAUGAAUUAUAGAAACAUGAUACAGACAAGUUGAAGAAUUAAUACCAUCAGUACUAUGCACUAUUCUGGCCUCAAUUAGCUUUGGAAUGUGGAGUGCCAAAGCCAAGCUUCGUGGUCCAAAAGGACACAAUGCGGCCCCCUUGAUUCCCAUCUUCUCUGCAACCUCCACUGCCCACCGCCCAACUGUUGUGUCAGCAAUAACACAAGUGAUCCUCUCAUCAUCGUUCAAGCUGUUAAGCCUCUCGUUCAAGUCCUUCAAAUGACCCGGCAUGACUGUCAAUAUACUUUCUGUCAACUUGAGCCGAUCCUUCCUAUCCUCCCCUGGAUCCAGUCCAUCUGGGAUUGAGGCUAGCCCUAUCCGAC